GUACAGAGGAAGAGUUGAAUUGGCUACUGAAUUUGGUAUCAGAUAUGAGGAUGGCCAGUACUCAUACUGUGGGGAUCCUGCUUAUGUAAGAGCUGCAUGUGACUGUAUUGAUCUUUAUUACCAACAUCGCAUUGACACUAAAGUUCCCAUUGAAGUCACAGUUUGUCGCUUUUAAUUUUUAUAUAUUUGUCUCAAUCAUGCAUGUUAAACUAUAUUAGUUUGUUAGCCUCUGGGUAGCUCGGCUGCCAAUGAAUAUGAAACACAGAAUAUUUAAAAAUACAGGCAUGGGUCACUUCGGUGGGUGAGGUUUCUGUUAUUAUGUACUAAUUCUUUUACUUGUGUUGUUUCGUAAGAUUGGGGAACUCAAGAAACUAGUUGAAGAGGGUAAAAUAAAGUAUAUAGGUCUAUCGGAGGCUUCUGCUUCAACAAUUAGACAAGCUCGCCGUCCAUCCAAUAACAGCUGUGCAGUUGGAAUGGUCCUUGUGGUCACGAGAUGUGGAGGAAGAGAUUGUCCCUACUUGCAGGUAAGACAUUAUUUGGGCCAAAUGAAUUGUUUUGACCUAGUUGAAAGGAAAAGAAAUUAUGAGUAGAUGAUUUAACAUUUGCAUGCUAACGCAAUUUUGGUGGUUGCUCUGCUCAGGGAACUUGGCAUUGGAAUUGUUGCGUACAGUCCUCUAGGAUGUGGCUUUCUUUCAUCCGGACCAAAGUUGGUUGAAAGCAUUGCACCGGAUGAUUCUAGACAUGUUCGUAAGCCUACCAUGCAUUUAUUAUUCGAUGUCUGCAAGCAUGUUUAAAACCUUCUCUCAAGAUACUCUACAGUGACUUGCAUACUAUUUUAUCUUAUAAACCUCUGAUAUUUAUCUAGAGCCAUAGUUAUAGUUAUUCUAACCUAACCCGGUAGGACUUGUUUAAGAAUUCUCUUUCUUAGAUACUCUACUAGUUCAUUUCGAUCGACUAAUUACACUGAAGUUGCCUGUGUAUGGAUUGCAUGGAGAGGAUUGAGGAAAAAUGAAAAUUCAAUUACUAAGGACUGAAUACACUGUAAUCCUUUUUGAAGUGACUUGUCUACCAAAACUUAUUCAUCAUUAGCUAAAUGUUUGGUGUUUACUAAUCAUGUAUUUUUACUUUCAUCAUAUUUGCAUUACUUGUCUUCUUUAUUACACAUUCAUUCUCAUUUAGCAAUACAAUAAUAAUUCUUGUUUAGUUUUACUCUAUAGCUCUGAAAUUCUUCAUAGAUUUCAAUUGUAUAUUUGUCUCAAUCAUGCAUGUUAAACUAUAUUAGUUUGUUAGCCUCUGGGUAGCUCGGCUGCCAAUGAAUAUGAAACACAGAAUAUUUAAAAAUACAGGCAUGGGUCACUUCGGUGGGUGAGGUUUCUGUUAUUAUGUACUAAUUCUUUUACUUGUGUUGUUUCGUAAGAUUGGGGAACUCAAGAAACUAGUUGAAGAGGGUAAAAUAAAGUAUAUAGGUCUAUCGGAGGCUUCUGCUUCAACAAUUAGACAAGCUCGCCGUCCAUCCAAUAACAGCUGUGCAGUUGGAAUGGUCCUUGUGGUCACGAGAUGUGGAGGAAGAGAUUGUUCCUACUUGCAGGUAAGGCAUUAUUUGGACCAAAUGAAUUGUUUUGACCUAGUUGAAAGGAAAAGAAAUUAUGAGUAGAUGAUUUAACAUUUGCAUGCUAACGCAAUUUUGGUGGUUGCUCUGCUCAGGGAACUUGGCAUUGGAAUUGUUGCGUACAGUCCUCUAGGAUGUGGCUUUCUUUCAUCCGGACCAAAGUUGGUUGAAAGCAUUGCACCGGAUGAUUCUAGACAUGUUCGUAAGCCUACCAUGCAUUUAUUAUUCGAUGUCUGCAAGCAUGUUUAAAACCUUCUCUCAAGAUACUCUACAGUGACUUGCAUACUAUUUUAUCUUAUAAACCUCUGAUAUUUAUCUAGAGCCAUAGUUAUAGUUAUUCUAACCUAACCCAGGAGGACUUGUUUAAGAAUUCUCUUUCUUAGAUACUCUACUAGUUCAUUUCGAUCGACUAAUUACACUGAAGUUGCCUGUGUAUGGAUUGCAUGGAGAGGAUUGAGGAAAAAUGAAAAUUCAAUUACUAAGGACUGAAUACACUGUAAUCCUUUUUGAAGUGACUUGUCUACCAAAACUUAUUCAUCAUUAGCUAAAUGUUUGGUGUUUACUAAUCAUGUAUUUUUACUUUCAUCAUAUUUGCAUUACUUGUCUUCUUUAUUACACAUUCAUUCUCAUUUAGCAAUACAAUAAUAAUUCUUGUUUAGUUUUACUCUAUAGCUCUGAAAUUCUUCAUAGAUUUCAAUUGUUUCCCUCAGAUUAUGUUCAUUAACCUCCUCAAAUAUGAGCAAAAGCUUUCUUUGCAUUGAAAAUAUGAGGAAUUAUCUAUGCAAUGACUUCAUUGAUGGACAGAAAAUUUUAACAUGACUGAUUCAAUUUAUAUACAUGAUAAUACCCCUUAAGUUGUAUAGAGGUGAAAAAAAAAUGAGGGAAAAAAAUUGUUCCAUUACCUCAAAACUAUUACUGGAUGCUCAAGAAGUUUAGCUGUAACGACUCUUCCAAACUUCUACAUCCUUGUGGCAGUUUCCAUUUUUGUUAUAUUGCUUUGCCUAUGCACGUCAAUGUGAAAUCAAUUGACAAGUCCAAGGAGAGUUUAUUUCUUGUGAGACCUUUGUCUAACAUGCCAAAAUGUUUUACUAUAAACAUCCUCCACCUUGGAGAAGUCCCCGCCUAGUCCUUUUUCUUUGUUUUCUGGUCUAUUGAAUUUUACAUAAACCUCCUCUAAAAUCAUGCUUUAUCCAAAAUGAUGUUCUUUUUUUUAAUGAUUCAAUUGCAGUUCAGUUUUGGUACUGAGCUGUUUUCUAAAUCUUGCAGCAUCUACCGAGGUUCCAACCUGAAAAUUUAGAGCAUAACAAAAAGCUAUUUGAACGUGCAGCUUGCAUUAGCAUGGGUUCAUCACCAAGGAAAUGACGUGUGUCCGAUUCCUGGAACCACUAAGAUUGAAAACCUGAAUCAAAAUAUUAAAGCUCUGUCAGUGAAACUUUCUCCAGAAGAAAUGGCUGAGCUUGAAUCCAUUGCUUCAGCAGAUGCUGUAAGGGUUCAUCGGUAUGGGGGUGUCACUCCUACCUACGAAGACUCUGAAACUCCACCUCUGUCUUCGUGGAAACCUUCAUAAAGGGCAUUGGUAUUCUGCUUCUUAGUACCGAUUUUGCAAUUGCAUGUAGUUCCUAGGUUCUGUUGUGGGUAAAAUCAUUGUGUUCUCAUACGAGACCCUAUCAGUACCUUUCUGCACUUUCCACAAGCAUUUAGUGAAUAUUGUAUUGAGUUCCUAUGCAGUGUUGUAAGUAAAACUAAAUCAUUGUAUCUUCUGCAGUGAGCACAAAAACAAUGUAAUGUGUUUAUGCAAAUAUAUGAGAAACAAUAACAAAUCAAAAUGGAGUAAUAUUUAUCUGAAAUUUCUGGAAGUUUAGAUUAUCUGAAUCAGGGGCGAAGCCAGAAAAAAUAUCUUGGGUAGGCUAAAUUUUUGCCAAAUCCAAAUAUUAUCUUGGUUAAAAAUAUAAAUUUGAAAGAAAAUUUUGUUAAUACAUAAGAAAAUGUGAAAGAAAAUUUUGUUAUACAUAAGAAAAUAUAUCAUAUCUAAGAAGUAAUUUAGUCACAAUUAAACACUAUUAAGUUUGUGCCUUACUAUACUUUCGAGAAUUAAAUCCAUCUAUUAUCGAAUUUAAAUUGACGGUGUUUACAAAUUCUCUUUUAACGUAGAUAACUCUACAAUUUGAUAAAAAUUCCUUUUCUUCCUUAUUUUGAAGUCGGGUCUAUGCUCGUUUGGGUGUUUCAGUCAAAACAGGGUAUAAAUAUAAAAGAAGUUAGAAGAAAUAAUCAAAAAUUUACUAAUAAAAGCCAUAGAACCGUCAAUCUGUCACUACGACACAUUAACACUAUCCAGAAGCCAAACAAUAAGUUUAAUUAACAAAUUAACUUUAUGUAUAAUGUACUGAAUUGAAUCUAUGAUCCAUCUCUAUCAAUAAUCAAUUUCAAAUAUCUCUAAUCUAUCAAUAAUUAAUUUAAAUUUUUGAAUGCUAGAAUUUAAUGGCUAAAUUAUCUUCAUUUGACCCAACAAUAAUUUAAUUUUACACAAUGAAAUUGGAACAAGAAUUAAAUAAUAUAAUCUUUAGUCUUUACUACCUAACAAUUAAUAAGUGUACUGUAAAUGAUUGAAUAAACAAUAAAUUUAUUAUCUAUUCUUGUCAAGAAGAAGACGAAGAAUUGAAGAAGCACGUUCUGGAAUCUUGAAUGAAGUAAAUGCUCCCUUUUUUCUAUAUAUUUAUUUGAAUGAUAAAGUGGUAAAUUAAUAGAGUGGUACAACUGUAAAUAAAAUAGUGGCAAUUUUAUAAACUUUGCAUUAUGAUAUUUUUGUAAACUUUCUAAAAAUUUCCCAGCCCACUUGGAGCCUCGCCACUGAUGUGAAGAGCAAUGCUAGAUGUCCCAACAUAAGUUUUAAUUUGAGUUCCUACUGACGUGAAAUUCAUCUAUUGAAUGGUAGUUAAAUAAUUUUACUAGAUAUUACAUCCAUUAUUCAAUUGAUGAGUGACACAUAUCAUUGAGAGUCAAGUUGAGACUCAAAUGUUAGGAUCCUAAAUAUUAUUGUUGAUCUAAAUUAUUGUAGCAUUAUAUGUUUCUUGUUGUUGCACGUGACAUCCUUCCUCUAACAGAAAAUUAUUCAAUGAUUUCAGAUCAAUCGAAUACUUUUGCUGUGUUACAAAGUGGCCUCUACGAGAUUACCAAAUUGAUUCACAAUUUUUCACAUCAUUUUACCGGAAAUUAAAUUAUUUCAACCAAUUGAUUAUGCUUAGUCAUGGUAAAAACUCAAGUCGGUCCCGGAUAUGGCAAUACUCAAAUUUGGCCCAAGCAUGUUUUUCUGAACACUGAGGUUGGGCUUAAAAACUCGGCCCCAAAUGGAUUUUCUUUAAUGGGCUUAAAAAAUCCAGAUUUAUAUUUUAUAAUAUUAUAUAUGUAUAUUUGCAAUCACCUCAUAGGACUUGACUAGCUUACAGAAUCUGUAAGCUACAGACUGCAGCAUCAGCCGUUGGAUGUGGACUGAGAAACUAAACAAUAGAAAAUCAGAUGGUGGGAUGUCGGGAGAUGUUUGUUACAGAAUCUGUACCAUAGACAGGUCCUAAUAAAAAGCCCAGAGAACAAUUUGAAAUGGAAAUCAAAUCAAGAAACAAUUUCUGGUCAUAAAAGCAUAACGGCAUGAAUUGCGCAAGAAGUUCUCUCGGUUAAAACCUAUCCCUCAUGCGCUUUUUAUCCUUUUGAGGUUAAUGCAAAGACCCAAAUGGCCCAGGUUGGGAUGGCUUUCGACCUAACCGGGUUGCAUUAUAGGGACCUAUUUUAGUUUAUAAUUUUUAAAUUUUAUUUAAUGAAUUUGGGUUUUCAAAUAUGAACUUUAAAUAUUUAAAAUUUUAAAUAUGUAUAAUCUAUGGGUCAAAUAAAUAUAAUUAUUUAAAAUAAUGUAUUUUAUAAUAUUUUUUCAUAAAAUUCAGGUUUUGGGACGGAUCUGAAUUUAUCAAGUGAAACUUAAACUUGGCCCGGCCUCAUCUUUGGACUAGAUAUUAUUGGCCCGCAUUGCCUAGUCCAAUCCGUACAAAUAUUUUUGACAGUUCCUAUUACCUUUCAGGCAUUUCACACAUUUCAUUGGGUAUUUUUUAUGGUUAAUUUGAUCACCUUCUUUGCAGUAAAUGAUAAAUAGAUACAUUUAAGAAUUAAUUCAUCUAAAAAUCAGGGAAAAAAAAGCAUAUAUACCCCCUUGGGAACAUAAAUGUUGCUAUAGACCUCCUUGGUUUAAUAAAUAAUCACACAAAUUUUUUUUUUUUAUGAUUAUACAAAUCGAUUUUAACAAUCCAAAUUUUUUUUCAGGCAUUUCACACAUUUCAUUGGGUAUUUUUUAUGGUUAAUUUGAUCACCUUCUUUGCAGUAAAUGAUAAAUAGAUACAUUUAAGAAUUAAUUCAUCUAAAAAUCAGGGAAAAAAAAGCAUAUAUACCCCCUUGGGAACAUAAAUGUUGCUAUAGACCUCCUUGGUUUAAUAAAUAAUCACACAAAUGUUUUUUUAUGAUUAUACACAUCGAUUUUAACAAUCCAAAAAUUGAUUUUAAAUAAACUUCUAUGAUAGAUAGAUACAAAAUAUAAUAUUAAAAUAAUAUAAUAUAUAAAUUUUAUAUAUUUUAUAAAUUAUUUUGAAUAAAAAAAUUAAUUUAAUAUUAUUAAUCUAUCAUAUAGGUUUUAAUUUAAUAAAAUCUAUUUUGCAGAUCAAUAAUAUUAAAAUACUUGUAUUUAACAUUAAAAAUAAUUUACAAAAUUCUGUAUUAUAUAUCUUAUUUAUUUCUUUUUAUGUUAGGUCUAUAUUAGCUUAAUUUUUUUAAGUUUGGGUAGGAUUUUUUUUAAGCCAAUAAAGAAUUAAUCUAUGAAAUACCAGAAUCUACGGUGAGUCGUGAAAAAUAUAAAUUUAAAGAUUUUACUCAAUUUUUUAUUGCUACAAUUUCACUCUGGAGUAAAAUGACAGAUAAAUCAAUAAUAUAUAACAUAUUUAAUAAUACAAUUCAACAGUUUCUUCUAUCAUAUAAACACCCUUUUUCUAUAAAAAGGGUUUACAUCUAGGGGUGAUAAUAUAGAUCAGGAUUUAUUGAUUCCAUUUGAUUCUAUUUGAAUUAAAAGCAUUUAGGUUUGAAAAAUUAAUUCGUCUAAUAAAUGGACCAUUUUGAUUGAAUUUGUUAAGUGAACAAAUUGAAUGUCGCACUGAUUUGUUUAUUUUUUGAAGAUCCAUUUAUUGAAUGAUACAAUAAAUAUAAUUAUGCAAAAAAAAAAGUCUCACUAGUUCAAAAUAUUUAUUUUGAGGAUUUUAAUUGUAAUGUUAAUGGAUUUGUAAUUUUAAACGAACCAGUGGAUUAAUUUAAAAUAUGAAUGUGGAUUUAAGCUCACUGGUUCGGUUGAAAUUUUGGAGUUAGGAUGGUUCAUUUAUUCUAUUGUUAAUGAAUUUGUAAUUUAAACAUCGAAGUUAGAAACUUUGGAGUUUCAAACUUCUAACCCAAUUCAUUAUAUUGAAUUUACCGACUUUUAACCUAAUUCAUGAAUUCAUUUUGCUACCCUAUUUACAUCUAUACAUGUAUUAGUUCAACAAUUUCUUACAUCAUAUAACCCUGACUUCUUUUUUACAUUAUAAACAUUUUGUAUAUUUCAUUCAAAAACAUCAUGAUUGUCGAUAUUGAACACUAAAAUAAUUCAGAAAACAUUACAAUGUUAAUUUUUAGUAUUAAGUGGAUUAGUUUCAGUAGAGUAUAUUAUAUUAUACAAAGAGUAGCCUUUUGACACCUUUUAAAGGUUGAGGCUAUUUAACCCUCUAGGUUACUCAUUAAACUCACAUUUUAAUAAACUUAAUUGUUACUAAAAUAUCAAUAACAUAAAUUACAAUUAUAGACAUAUGAUUAUUUGAAAACAAUUAUACUGGUGUUUUAUUCCAUCUUCAAACACAAUAUGAAUUUAAUCAGUUUUAUAAUACUCAUGUUUUCUUGAAUCUUUAGUCAUUUAUUGAAUUUUUACUCGUCUACACUUUGCAUUCCCUCAAAUUUGUUUGAUAUUUGGAUUAUUUGGCCAAAAGUUUGUUGUUCAUAAAUAACUCCUCCUAAAUCCAACUGAUAAUUUCUUCUCAAUAAUGGAUUCUCUCUUACACAUGCGAGUAUGGGCAAACCUGGUCUCUAAUUAGUAUUUUAAGAAAUAAAAAAUAUCACCAUUCACUACCCAAUAAAUAUACAGCACCGAUAUUCUCACACCAAUAAGCACCAUAGUUAGCACAAAUGCAAACGCAAACUACACACACACUCAUCUCAUUGGACCGCAGCACUCUCUCUCACCGUGGGUCUCUCCACAUUUAGCUUGGCUGUCAAUUGUUUCUCUCCCAACCCCGUGAAUUGCAUUCUGACGGCACUUCUGGAAUUUGAGACCUAGCUGCAGCUUCACUCUCUCGGUAUGAAUUUAUGUUAAUUUUACUGAUGAUUAUACAAGAAAAUAUAGGCAUAUGAGUAGAGCCCGCCAUGAAUUAUUUUGAUUGUUUGAGAAAAUUUUGCUGAUCAUGAAUUAUUACAGUGAGUUAGCUUAGUUUUGUGAAUUAUUUUGUUCUUAAGAAUUAUUUUUAUAUUGUUGUCAUGAAUUAUGCGAUGAGACUGUAUGCGAUGGAUCUUCAUUAUUUGAUUGAAAUUUCAGGCAGCCAUGUUAUAUCUAAGUGAAGGAAAAGUAUAUGUCAGCAUUGCACUCCUUGUGCAUCAGUACCUUCAAAAUCAUAAAUAUUUUAAUAGCCUUAUUGAAACAUGAGAACUGAUCAUUACCAAAUAACAUAUGCUCUCUCAAUUUUGUAUCAAGCUAAAAAGAAUCCCUAUCCAGAGAUGCAUCAAAUGAAAUUACUUGCAAAUAAAUCAUCUCAAGGCCCUUAAAAUCUGAUAUGCCUCUAUAAAUGGCUAAUGAUUUUACAAAGCACACAAAUCUUAGAUCAACAAAUGAUAUCUAACCAAUAACGGGCAUCAAUAAUUGAUUUCCAGUUAUGCGGAGAAGUAGUAGAAAGGAUAGUGAUGGGAUACUUAGAAAUGUGUCUUUUGCUUGUGGCCGAAGCGGGGAGACAAGAAGCAAAUCUACUAAUAUCUUAAAGCCGCAACCUAAUAUAAAGACAGGCUGCAGUGCUAGAUUAGGAGCUGGUUUUGUUUUGUUAAUGUGAAUUAUUUUCAUAUUGUUGUCGUGAAUUAUUUUGUUUUUGAUAAUAUAAAUUUCCAUUUUGAUUAUAUGAAUUAUUUUCAUUUCAUAUAAAUAAAGAUUAUGGAAAAGGCCAUCGAAGACAUUGAGGAGUUGGAGAAAAUUGAGGAGGAGGACGAGCCAAUGAUUGGGAUGUCUUUUAAUACCGAUACUGAAAUGUUUAUGUACUUCAAAGAGUAUGGUAAAAAAAAAAGAUUUCCAGUUAUGCGGAGAAGUAGUAGAAAGGAUAGUGAUGGGAUACUUAGAAAUGUGUCUUUUGCUUGUGGCCGAAGCGGGGAGACAAGAAGCAAAUCUACUAAUAUCUUAAAGCCGCAACCUAAUAUAAAGACAGGCUACAGUGCUAGAUUAGGAGCUGGUUUAGGGGAUGAUGGAAAGUGGACGAUUCGAAGCUUAAAUCUUAAACACAACCAUCCAUUGUUGUCUCCAACGAAGUCAAGGCUUUUUCGAUGCAAUCGUAGCCUCAGUGCACAUGCAAAAAAGAAACUUGAUAUAAAUGAUCGAGUGGGAAUCAAAUUGUCCAAAAAUUAUCAAUCACUUGUUAUUGAGGCCGGUGGACAUGAAAACGUGACAUUCAUAGAGAGAGAUUGUAGAAAUCAUAUUCAGAAAGAAAGAAGAUUACGGCUUGGAGAUGGGGAUGCUGCUGCUCUUCAAAAUUAUUUUAUGAAAGUGCAAGCGGAAGAUAAUAGAUUUUUCUUUAGUAUGCAAGUGGAUGAUGAGGGCCGACUAAAAAAUAUUUUUUGAGCUGAGCCAAAAAAUAGGGACGCCUACAAAGAGUUUGGAGACGUUGUUACAUUUGACACCACAUAUCUUACAAAUAAGUAUGACAUGCCAUUCGCUCCGUUUGUAGGAGUUAAUCAUCAUGGUCAUUCUAUUUUGUUUGGGUGUGGAUUGAUUUCAAACGAAGACAUUGAGACAUUCACAUGGUUAUUUCAAACAUGGUUAUCCUGCAUGUCUAAUUCAGCUCCUAUUGGAAUUAUUACAGACCAAGACAAGGCAAUGAAAGCUGCAAUUGAGAACGUUUUCCCCAAUACUCGACAUCGGUGGUGUUUAUGGCAUAUACUUAAGAAGAUUCCAGAGAAGCUGGGGGGCUAUAAAGAAUAUCGCGACAUUAGUAAUGUGUUGCAUUGUGCUGUUUAUGACUCUCAGAGUUCUGCAAAAUUUGAGGAAACUUGGCACCAUAUGAUUGUAGAAUUUGAAUUGGGGGGAAAUGAAUGGUUACGGGGUUUAUACAAUGAGCGGUAUCGUUGGGUGCCUUGUUAUCUAAAAAACAGUUUUUGGGCAAGAAUGUCAACCACUCAGCGCAGUGAGAGUAUGAAUGCAUUUUUUUAUGGUUAUGUUAACUCGAAAACUACUUUGAAGCAGUUUGUGGAGCAAUAUAGCAAUGCAUUAAAGAAUAAAGCUCAAAAAGAAGUUGAAGAAGAUACUCGGUGUUCUUCCCAUCAAUUGCCAUGUGUAACAUCUUAUGCGAUGGAGAAGCAAAUCCGAGAUGUGUACACAAUUUCGAAAUUUCAAGAAUUUCAACAAGAGUUGGUCGGAAAAAUGUAUUGCGAAUUUGUCAAUUCCAUGGGUUGUGAAUAUAUAGUUAGAGAGGAUGUCAAAGUUGAUACAUGGAAAAAAAGGACCUUUUUUUAAGUAUAUUGUGAUAAAGAAAAUAGUGAAAUCCAUUGUAGUUGUUCAAGGUUCCAAUUCAGAGGAAUUCUCUGUAGGCAUGCUAUUACGAUCAUGAUACGCAACGACAUGGAAGUACUUCCAGAAAAGUUUGGGCUGGUAGAUCAAUGGUAACAGUUGUUCUCAAUAAUACCGAGGAUAAUAAUUUGAAUUCCAUUUUUUUUUCUUUUCAAUCAUUUUCCUCAAUAAUAUGGAGUAGACUCUAGAGUAUUUACUAGGGCGUAAUAGAUUUUUAAACAGUCUCAAUAUACUUUUUGUUGUUUACAAAAGUAAUUAUAAGUUCUCUUUUGUUUUGCUUAGUACAUGUAAGCAUUUGAUUGGCCGCCCCUAGGCUUAGCUGAUUUCCAUGUAGUUUUAUUUGUUUGGUAAUUAGAGUUCGAAUCCUCAAAGGUUAGAUGCGAAAAAACUGAUUUGGUAUUACCACCCUUUACUUUUAAAAAAACACAAAAAAAAAGUUAUAAGUAUUUGAGUAUCAUUAUUGACAAUAUAAUUACUAUUACACUUAUUAUUAUUUUGUACUCUUACAGCAUGCAAUAAAAUAAAAAUUUCUGAAUUUAUUAAAAUUUAUUUAUUAUUUAUUUGAGCAUACAUUAUUAGCCCUUAUUUAUAAAGUAUUUGAUUUAUAUAUUGGACAUAUGAUGUCAAGAUAGAAGAUAAAAAUCACAAAUUCUUUAUAAAUAAAAGAUUAUUGACAUCCAUUAAUGAAAUGUCAUUUUAUUUUAUAAGGCUGUAUAUUUGGUAUUUUUAUUGUUAAGUAACUUUAUCUUAAUCACUGAAGUAGAGACUUCAAGUAGAAAAAUUAGUAUGUAUAUGAGAUAUAUAUGUAAUGAACAAGAUUGUAAUGAAUUAUGAUCUAAUCUAACAAAAUCCGAGAUGUGUACACAAUUUCGAAAUUUCAAGAAUUUCAACAAGAGUUGGUCGGAAAAAUGUAUUGCGAAUUUGUCAAUUCCAUGGGUUGUGAAUAUAUAGUUAGAGAGGAUGUCAAAGUUGAUACAUGGAAAAAAAGGACCUUUUUUUAAGUAUAUUGUGAUAAAGAAAAUAGUGAAAUCCAUUGUAGUUGUUCAAGGUUCCAAUUCAGAGGAAUUCUCUGUAGGCAUGCUAUUACGAUCAUGAUACGCAACGACAUGGAAGUACUUCCAGAAAAGUUUGGGCUGGUAGAUCAAUGGUAACAGUUGUUCUCAAUAAUACCGAGGAUAAUAAUUUGAAUUCCAUUUUUUUUUCUUUUCAAUCAUUUUCCUCAAUAAUAUGGAGUAGACUCUAUAGUAUUUACUAGGGCGUAAUAGAUUUUUAAACAGUCUCAAUAUACUUUUUGUUGUUUACAAAAGUAAUUAAAAGUUCUCUUUUGUUUUGCUUAGUACAUGUAAGCAUUUGAUUGGCCGCCCUAGGCUUAGCUGAUUUCCAUGUAGUUUUAUUUGUUUGGUAAUUAGAGUUCGAAUCCUCAAAGGUUAGAUGCGAAAAAACUGAUUUGGUAUUACCACCCUUUACUUUUAAAAAAACACAAAAAAAAAGUUAUAAGUAUUUGAGUAUCAUUAUUGACAAUAUAAUUACUAUUACACUUAUUAUUAUUUUGUACUCUUACAGCAUGCAAUAAAAUAAAAAUUCCUGAAUUUAUUAAAAUUUAUUUAUUAUUUAUUUGAGCAUACAUUAUUAGCCCUUAUUUAUAAAGUAUUUGAUUUAUAUAUUGGACAUAUGAUGUCAAGAUAGAAGAUAAAAAUCACAAAUUCUUUAUAAAUAAAAGAUUAUUGACAUCCAUUAAUGAAAUGUCAUUUUAUUUUAUAAGGCUGUAUAUUUGGUAUUUUUAUUGUUAAGUAACUUUAUCUUAAUCACUGAAGUAGAGACUUCAAGUAGAAAAAUUAGUAUGUAUAUGAGAUAUAUAUGUAAUGAACAAGAUUGUAAUGAAUUAUGAUCUAAUCUAACAUAUGUUGCUAAUCAUAAUCUAUACAAGCUUUAAUAAGCUUGAUCGAUCUUAAUCCUGAGUGGGUAAUAUAACGCUAAUAAAGGGUAAAUUUGUCUUUUGAGUCGUCACAAAGUAAGAUUUGUAUAAACGGUCAAAACGUUAAUAAUUUGGAGAUAUAAUUUCAUGGAUUAUAGAAAUAUAUAUACUUACAAGAUGGAAUCUAUACAAAUGAUGCUUACCUAAGCUAUUUGUAGUAUUUGAUCAUAGGGAUGAGCCCGGCCCAUUGCUAUGAGAUUUGGCUCGAGCCUCCAUAUGAACGGUCUGGAUAAGGGCUUAAGUAAAAAAAAAUCUAGGCACACGCCCUCUAUUUUUUUUUCAAAAAAUAAAUUAGAAAUUUGAAUAAUAAAUUAAAAUUUUAUGAAAUAAUGGAAAAAAGAAAGAAAGCUUAAGUCCCUAAUUUAUAUAUCAAUAAUGAAUCAAAAAAUCUAAAAUUAUAAUAAUAAACUCUCUUUUAAAUGUUAAUUAAUUAAGAAGAUACUUGAAUUAAAAAAUCUAGUAUUAAAAAAUUUAAAUCUCUACACUUUUUUUUGUUGUGUUUUCUUUAUUUAUUAUUUUAUUUUGAAACAUUCAUUUUCUUUAAUUCGUUGCCGAUUAUAACAACUCAUUGAAUAUUAAUUCAUUUCAAGUUUUUAACAAUUUUUUUAAAAAAUGAAAAAAAAUAAGUGAAAGCCCAACCCAACCCAACCCCGCCCCAAGCUUAGCCCUUAUAUUUUCCCUCUAACGGGCUUGAAAAAGCCUAGUCUAAACUUGCAUUUUGCCAUCCCUAAAUUGAUCAUUUAAAUCUGUGGUUAUAAUUUAUUCAAUAAUUUAUUUAUUAAUUAAUCACAUUUAUUUGUAAUCUAUUUACAAAUAUAUUAACAGUGAUAGUUAGAAUAAAUAGUGACUGAGGGAUAUAUAUGUAAUUACAAAGAAAGAACAUUUAUCAUGGGCUGGAUUUAAUUAAGAUUAUCAAAUGAAGAGUCAAUUAAGUGGUAAUUAUUGGUUUAAAAUCAUGUCUAAUAUUAAUUAAAAGAAGUCUUAAUUAAUUAGGCUUUUAUUUGUUACAUGGUUCAUUAGAGUGCGACAUCAGACUUUUAGUAGAAUAGCUUAGGGUUAACUUAGUUGUUUUAGGAAGUCAUAAUAUGACUGAGACUUACCUAUGAAGUUGGAUUUAGGAAGUUCAUGGAUACCCUUUGUUAGCUUAGUUUCUAGUUAUAUCUUGACUUUAAUAAGUGCCUAUAUAAAGAAGAGGAAAUGGGAAUUAGAGUUCUCUAUAUGCCCUCAUGUGCGAGGGAGACUAUUGAUGAUAGUCGAGAAAACUACAACCAUAUCCUACAGAUCCCAAUAAUAGUAGUGGAAAAAAUUAAAGUAGUUGUCUUCAAAUCUUCAGUAGGAAAUUUAAGGCGUUUCUCUAAUUUUAUGCAUUUUUAUGUAAUCAAGAAAAAAAAAAUCUGACUUUUGAUAAUUUUAUUAAAUUAAAGAAAAAAAAUAUUUUUUAGGCCUGAUUUAACAACAACUGUAUGAAAGUGGUAUUGAUAUAUGAUAGAUUUUGGACUUACGCUAUUAUUGCUACUUUUAUUGAUUUGAAUUUAAUAGUUUACAAGAACCUCAUAGCACUGCAUUUAUUUUCGCAUAUUUCGCAAAAAAAAAAAUCUAUCUCUAUAAUGUUUAUAAGUUGACUGAAAUCCCUAAAAAAUGAUUCACCAUGGUUCCAAUACUUGACCGUAGUCUUAAGGUAAUAGAAUGUUUAAAAGACAAUUUUCCCCUUGCCAAUUACCAUAGCCAAAUAGUUUGAAGGAGAUAAUAAAAUGCAUUAAACUUCAAAAAAAAAAAAAGGAAUUUUGAAAAAUCAAAACAGUGAAAAAGAGAAUGAGGGUCCAUUUACAUCUAUAGCAGAUUCUCUAGAAGGAUUAAUGGGUGAUACAGAAUCGUGGGCCUUUGUUUGCGAAGGGUAGGAUCCAGGCAAAGGCCCAGGUGACGCCCUCGCAGCCUUUGAUUUGGCCUUUGUGCCAGCCACGUUAUCAACAUUGAAUGACGUGAAAUUGUACGGACUAGGGUGCAAUUGGUAUUGCCAUUCAAAUAAUGUUUUAUAAUUUUUUAAAUAAUUAAUAAUCUUGUAUGAAUUUCCUUGCUUUACUUUAUAUUUACUAGUUUCAUAUAAAAUUAGUAAAUAUAAAGUAAAACAAGUAACUUCAUACAAGAUUAUUAAUUAUUUAAAAAAUUAACAUUGCUUCUGCACAAUUUUAGUGAAAAAUAUUUUAUUCAUUUACAAAAAUAUAAAGAAAAAAUUACUCAUUAAUUAAACAAAAAUUGUACAAAAAAAGUGAAAUAUAUUUUAUUGAAUUGGUUUAACCAUAAAUUCUAUAUUUAUUUAAUUACAUUUGUAUAAUUUUUCCCAUUUUCUAUAAUGAUAUCUGUUUAUUACACAAGUUAAUUAAGUGCAAUUAUUUAUCUUGACGUGGAUCAAGCAAAUGAAUAAAUAAAUAAAUAAUUAUUCUCAUAUUACUGGACACAUAUAUGAUAUAUCAAUAAAAUUAUAUCUAAUUUUGAGUUCUAUGUAUACUUCAUGUAGUUUCAAACUUUUUACUUGUACUUAAGAGACCAUUUAUGGUUGUUGUUGUAGAAGUGUAGAAGGAUGCAAAAUAACCUCAUGUUACAACAACUAUGAAAGAUAUUAAAAUAGUUUUUUUUUUUUUUUCAAAAUCCAAUUCUGCGAAUAAAUUUCAUCCUUAAUAAAACAUCACAUGUACUACAUAAAUGAAAAACUAGCAUUAUGCAAUUUAAUUUUUUAAAAAUCAUUAAAUAUAUAAGGUAAUAAAUAUUAUAAUGAGUUUUUAGUUUAUAAGAGCUUUUUUGUUAGUAACUCUUAGAUUAAUUUACUUAUUUUACCUUUUAUUCAUAAGUUUUGAGCAUAGUUUACAAAUUUUAUGUUUUAUUUUGCACUUAAUAUUGAUUUACUUGGUUUAUAUUAUAUUUGUAUGUUUUCGUUUUACUUACUAAUGAUACAUAAAUUUACUAAUUUUAUAGUAAUUUACUUGUUUUUACUUUCCUUUUGCAAGUCUUAUACUUCAUUUCUAAAAUUUAUGUUUUAUUUUAGGCCACUGCUAUGUUACGUUGAGUGUAACAUACACACACUCACAGCAACANNNNNNNNNNNNNNNNNNNNNNNNNNNNNNNNNNNNNNNNNNNNNNNNNNNNNNNNNNNNNNNNNNNNNNNNNNNNNNNNNNNNNNNNNNNNNNNNNNNNNNNNNNNNNNNNNNNNNNNNNNNNNNNNNNNNNNNNNNNNNNNNNNNNNNNNNNNNNNNNNNNNNNNNNNNNNNNNNNNNNNNNNNNNNNNNNGUUUUAUAUUAAUUUACUUGUUUUAUCCUCCAUUUACAUUUGUGCUUUAUUUUGCACUUAAUGUUAAUUUACAAGUUUUAUGUUAUAUUACAAGUUUUUGUUUUAUUUACUAAUAAUAUAUCAAUUUACGAGUUUUAUAUUAAUUUACUCAUUUUACCUUCAAUUUACAAGUUUUAUGUUUAAUUUCUAAAAUUUAUGUAUUUUACAAUUAAUAUUGAUUUACAAGUUUUAUAUUUUAUUUACAUAAAUUAUGUUUAAUUACAGUAUUGAUACCGUUACUUUAAUCAAGGCAUAAUAGAAAGAGCCUUCUUUCUAAAAUACACUUAUAAAAUGAAAAUUUGAAAAUGUGUGAGUUGUUUAAAAAGUGAAGACGGUAAAAGAGAGUGAGAAAAAAAUACAUACCAUGAUAUAAUAUUUAGAUGAACUAAAAUUAUUUUUAAUCAUAAUAUAUUUCAAUUAAUUUUUUAUUAUUUGAAAUUUCAAUUACUUUUUAUUAUUUAAAAUUUUUAAUUAUAAAAAAUUAGAUAAAAUGAUUUUUUAGGGAGUAUCAUUAAUAUUAGAAUAAAUAAUAAAUAAAUUUUACUAAUAGAGAACCUUUUAAAAACUACCAAAUAAUACAAUUAGUAUUGUUGAAUAAAAAAUAAUUAAAAAGUAUUAAAGAUAAUUAGAAUUGGAUUAUAAAAUAAAUAUUGGUAAUGGGCCCACAUAAUAACAGACAUGAUUUUUAUUUUGUUGUUGUUCAAGUGGUACUUGUAGUACCCAUUUAAAAAAUGAAAAUUGAAAAUCAUGAAUGCCUUGUUGUCCAAUUUUCUUCUCUAAAGUUAGAGAAUGAGAUUAAACAUUCUUACUUGAAAUUAAAUAUCAUAAAAUAAGUGUAUCAAACAAAUUUUACAUUGUUUUUUUUUUCUUGAAAAAUGAAAAAUAGCAAAACAUAAAUAAUAUCAAAUACAUGCUUAUCUUCUAAAAAAAAAAAUAGCCAUUGGACUAAUUAAUCAAUGCUGACAGGUAUUCACAAUAAUAUUGAGGACACUAUUUGAAUUUCAUGGCUUUUUUUUACUCAUUUUCUCAACAGUAUAAAGUAAAUUUUUUGAGUAUUUACUAAGACGUGAUAGAAUUUCAAGUUAGUCUUAAUAUACUUUGGGUUGCUUACAAAAGUAAUUAUAAGUUUUAUAUUAAUUUACUUGUUUUAUCCUCCAUUUACAUUUGUGCUUUAUUUUGCACUUAAUGUUAAUUUACAAGUUUUAUGUUAUAUUACAAGUUUUUGUUUUAUUUACUAAUAAUAUAUCAAUUUACGAGUUUUAUAUUAAUUUACUCAUUUUACCUUCAAUUUACAAGUUUUAUGUUUAAUUUCUAAAAUUUAUGUAUUUUACAAUUAAUAUUGAUUUACAAGUUUUAUAUUUUAUUUACAUAAAUUAUGUUUAAUUACAGUAUUGAUACCGUUACUUUAAUCAAGGCAUAAUAGAAAGAGCCUUCUUUCUAAAAUACACUUAUAAAAUGAAAAUUUGAAAAUGUGUGAGUUGUUUAAAAAGUGAAGACGGUAAAAGAGAGUGAGAAAAAAAUACAUACCAUGAUAUAAUAUUUAGAUGAACUAAAAUUAUUUUUAAUCAUAAUAUAUUUCAAUUAAUUUUUUAUUAUUUGAAAUUUCAAUUACUUUUUAUUAUUUAAAAUUUUUAAUUAUAAAAAAUUAGAUAAAAUGAUUUUUUAGGGAGUAUCAUUAAUAUUAGAAUAAAUAAUAAAUAAAUUUUACUAAUAGAGAACCUUUUAAAAAUUACCAAAUAAUACAAUUAGUAUUGUUGAAUAAAAAAUAAUUAAAAAGUAUUAAAGAUAAUUAGAAUUGGAUUAUAAAAUAAAUAUUGGUAAUGGGCCCACAUAAUAACAGACAUGAUUUUUAUUUUGUUGUUGUUCAAGUGGUACUUGUAGUACCCAUUUAAAAAAUGAAAAUUGAAAAUCAUGAAUGCCUUGUUGUCCAAUUUUCUUCUCUAAAGUUAGAGAAUGAGAUUAAACAUUCUUACUUGAAAUUAAAUAUCAUAAAAUAAGUGUAUCAAACAAAUUUUACAUUGUUUUUUUUUUCUUGAUUGAGUGUAACAUACACACACUCACACCAACAGUGUUAAUGAUGAGACUUGUUACUGUUGCUGUGAGUGUGUGUAUGUUACACUCAUCGUAACAUAGGGUGACCCUUUAUUUUAUUGUUAAUGUUGAUUUACUAGCUUUAAGUUAUAUUUGCAAGUUUUUGUUUUGUUUACUAGUAAUACAUUAAUUUACUAGUUUUAUAUUAAUUUACUUGUUUUAUCCUCCAUUUACAUUUGUGCUUUAUUUUGCACUUAAUGUUAAUUUACAAGUUUUAUGUUAUAUUACAAGUUUUUGUUUUAUUUACUAAUAAUAUAUCAAUUUACGAGUUUUAUAUUAAUUUACUCAUUUUACCUUCAAUUUACAAGUUUUAUGUUUAAUUUCUAAAAUUUAUGUAUUUUACAAUUAAUAUUGAUUUACAAGUUUUAUAUUUUAUUUACAUAAAUUAUGUUUAAUUACAGUAUUGAUACCGUUACUUUAAUCAAGGCAUAAUAGAAAGAGCCUUCUUUCUAAAAUACACUUAUAAAAUGAAAAUUUGAAAAUGUGUGAGUUGUUUAAAAAGUGAAGACGGUAAAAGAGAGUGAGAAAAAAAUACAUACCAUGAUAUAAUAUUUAGAUGAACUAAAAUUAUUUUUAAUCAUAAUAUAUUUCAAUUAAUUUUUUAUUAUUUGAAAUUUCAAUUACUUUUUAUUAUUUAAAAUUUUUAAUUAUAAAAAAUUAGAUAAAAUGAUUUUUUAGGGAGUAUCAUUAAUAUUAGAAUAAAUAAUAAAUAAAUUUUACUAAUAGAGAACCUUUUAAAAACUACCAAAUAAUACAAUUAGUAUUGUUGAAUAAAAAAUAAUUAAAAAGUAUUAAAGAUAAUUAGAAUUGGAUUAUAAAAUAAAUAUUGGUAAUGGGCCCACAUAAUAACAGACAUGAUUUUUAUUUUGUUGUUGUUCAAGUGGUACUUGUAGUACCCAUUUAAAAAAUGAAAAUUGAAAAUCAUGAAUGCCUUGUUGUCCAAUUUUCUUCUCUAAAGUUAGAGAAUGAGAUUAAACAUUCUUACUUGAAAUUAAAUAUCAUAAAAUAAGUGUAUCAAACAAAUUUUACAUUGUUUUUUUUUUCUUGAAAAAUGAAAAAUAGCAAAACAUAAAUAAUAUCAAAUACAUGCUUAUCUUCUAAAAAAAAAAAUAGCCAUUGGACUAAUUAAUCAAUGCUGACAGGUAUUCACAAUAAUAUUGAGGACACUAUUUGAAUUUCAUGGCUUUUUUUUACUCAUUUUCUCAACAGUAUGAAGUAAAUUUUUUGAGUAUUUACUAAGACGUGAUAGAAUUUCAAGUUAGUCUUAAUAUACUUUGGGUUGCUUACAAAAGUAAUUAUAAGUUCUCUAUAAUUUUAGUUAUUACAUGUAAGCACUUGAUUGCCCACCUAAGGAUUUAACCAAUUUUUAAUUAGUUUCAUUUGAUUGACAAUUGGAGUUCCAAUCCUACAAAGAUUAUAAGAAAAAAAUUGAUUUGGAUUUUACCCAUCCUUUAAAAAACACAUAAAAAAAAUUGUAAGCAUGUGACUAUCAUUAUUUACAAUAUAGUUACGACAAGAAGUCUGCAAGAAUCUCAUUGCAGAUUAGAUUAAUUUUCAAGUAUUUAGAAAAAAAAAUCACUACAAUAUCUCACUUAAAUACUUAAAAGAUGAUUCAUCGAGUAAUUUCCAUACUUAUGUCCUAUUUAGGAUUGAGGUUGAACGGUUGUAGCGUAAAAAGAAUAGCACUAAAGUAUUUGGUAAAAAAAGUAGCACUAAAGUAUUUGGUAAACACUAGCUGAUAUAGCUUGAAAACUAAAUUGAUUUGAUUUUAUACUUGUAUGAUGAAAAAUUUAUUAUAUCUUUACUACUUUUUUAAAAAUUAUUUUUAAAAAAUUAUAUUUAUUACAUAUUAUUAACUUUUACUUUAUAAUGACAGCAUUUUUUUUCAUAACAACUGUAACUCAAAAGGUACAGUAUUUCAAUACCAAACAUGACCUUAGACCCUAAUUCUAAGAUAAUAGACUGAUCAAAAGACAAUAUUUCCCUUACAAAUUGCUAUAGAGCCAGAUAGUUCAAAAGAGAUAAUUAAAAUAUUAGGAUGCGGACAGUAUUGUUUUCAAAUCUAAUUUUCUAUUUUCUAAAUUCAGAAAAUACUAGAUAAGUAUUCACAAAUGAUACUGAAUAUAUUUUAAAAUUUAAAAAUAACAUUUUCAUUGUUAUUUUUAUUUCAAGAAAACAACAUUUGGAAAACAAUAUCAAAUAGGGCCUUAACCUUCACAAAAAAAAAAAAAAAAAAUUACUUUUUUUUGUCAAAAUUUUUUGAAAGACAGAGUGAUAGUCAUGGGCGGCUCCUCCUGGGCAAUUAUGAAGCCUGUCCUAGACCAUUACUUUUCCUUUAAAAUGUACCUUGAGCUCCUUCUAAAAAAAUUAAAUAAAAAGAAUUUGGGCAUAUUUUUUAUAUAACAAAAUACUUGUAAUUUAGUGAUAAUUGUACUUUUUAGUGGUUUUAGAGACUCGGUUCAAAUUUCAAUAGCCAUAUAAUUUUAUUUCUCUACAUAUUUCGUUCUCAAAAACUCAAAUUCUAUUUUUCCUCAAAAAUUUUAAAAAUAAUAGUAAUAUGUUGUUUAUUUUAAAUGUUGAACCUCAUUAUGAACAUUGAAAAAAAAAAUAAAUACUCCAACUUAAAUUAAAACUUUUUGAACUAAAUCCUACUUUAAGUGUUUGGGUUUAAUCCAUAUCUAGGGAUGGCAAAAACGGGGUCCGGGUCCGUGUUUGGCAUUUCCGGUUCAGGACCCAGAUGCCAAUUCUCCUUCCCGGAUCCGGAUAAAAACCCGCAUUUUCUUUCUCCGGGUCCGGUACGGGUUCAACCCGGAAAAUCCGGGUUUCCGGAUUGCGGGUUUUAAACCCGGAAAGUUGGAGGCUGGAAGAAUGAAGCCUUUGUGCAUGCCCCUUUUGACUCUGUACAAGAGUAGAUUAGCUGUUUCUUUGAGGUGUCGGUUGAGACACCGGCGAGUCCAGGAGGCAGCGGCCAUGAAAGCAGUGAGCAAGGUUUGAGAUCCAGCAUCCACGAACAAUAGAGAAAUGAGAUCGAGCGGCGGCAAGAGUGGAUUAGCAUUUUAUACUUGUAUGAUGAAAAAUUUAUUAUAUCUUUACUACUUUUUUAAAAAUUAUUUUUAAAAAAUUAUAUUUAUUACAUAUUAUUAACUUUUACUUUAUAAUGACAGCAUUUUUUUUCAUAACAACUGUAACUCAAAAGGUACAGUAUUUCAAUACCAAACAUGACCUUAGACCCUAACCAGCAUCCAAGAACAAGAGAAAAAUGAGAUCGAAUUUGAUGAGAGAUGAGAGAUAAGGUUGAAUUUGAUGGUGCCAAAGAUUGUUUGUUGCUUUUGAUGAUGAAUUGACAAUGAUUUAAAUUGAUGUUGAGGAUGAUAUUGAUUGUUAUUAUUGUUGCUGAUGAAUUGACGAUGGGUGAUGAUGAUGAAUUGAAUUGAUGUCGAGGAAGAGGACAAUAAAGGUGGCGGCUGGGGUGGGGAUUUAGGGUUUCUUUUCGUUUCUUUCCUUUUUUUUUUUUAACUUUUGGCUUUUAUAUUUAUAUUUAAUAAUAAAAAUUAAUUAAUUAAUUAUUAAUACUGUAGUGCAUGUCCGGGUUCUCAGAAUUCGGGUACCCGCAACCGGACCCGCAUGUAUCCGGAUUUAAAAAAAUACUACUCGAAUUUGUAUUUUUAUGCACCCAGAGCGGGUUUAACCCGGACCGGAUCAUCCGGGUUUAUCCGGAUCCGGGCCGAGUCUGAAAAAAUUUGCCAUCCCUGGACCAUAUCAGAUGCUGUAAUGGGUGACGCAAAUAAGUGGGCCUUUGCCCGUGGUGCAGGCGAAGCCGGCGCAGCCCUUGAUUUGGCUUUUUUAGUGGAGAAUUAUUAUUCUCUAAAAAUUCAUUUUUUUUUAAUUAUAAGACCGUAGUAGAUUUUCAAGUUGGCCUCAAUAUAUUUUUGGUAGCAAUCAUAAAUUCUCUUUAAUAUUAAUUAUUACAUAUAACCAUUUAAUUGAUCGUUCAUUAGAUCUAGACGCAUUCCAUUACAUUAUUGACAUUACGAGUUUGUGAGGCCCGCUGUGAGUCAGUCAUCAUACUCCCACAUCUUGUUAAUGUGACAGCCCUUAGCCGCCAGUUUGGGCCAACUUUUAAUUGUUCGAUUGGAAAGAUUUUAAAAUAUUUGUGAAGCAUUAUGCCAGUAAUAUAAUCAAGGAAAAAUGACUAACACAUCCUCAAUAUUUAGACAAAGAAAUAAAAAUUUCAUAAUAUUUUAAAAAAUAUAUUUACACCCCUAUUAUUAAUGGAAACAAUUAUUUUUAACGGAAAUAGUAAUUUUAAUAUAUAAUUACAGUUAUACCUUUCUGACACAUAAAAAAAUAAUUAUUAAUUAUCCAAUUUGUCCAUAUAUUAUUAAUAAAAUUAUAAAUAUACCCUCAUUGCUCAAAUAAUUGUUUAAAUUUUUAUCAAAUUCUCUCAUCAAGCCAAAUAAAUUUAAUCCAUUACUCAAGAAUAAAAAUAAAUAAAAUUAGUUAUUAAUGCCAUAAGAAUAACAAUUCUCUAUAUGUCAAUCAUUUUAAUUUGUAUAAUCAACAAAAUAAAAAAAAAGGCUGGUUACAACAAUAAUUACAAAAAUCUUAUCUUAAUUGUAUUAAAUAACACAUCCAAUAGACAUAAAAAUUGAUAAUGGAUUAAAUUUAUUUGGCUUGAAGAGAUAAUUUGAUAAAAAAUUAAACAGAGGAAUUGGUCAAUGAGGGCAUAUUUAUAAUUUUAUUAAUAAUUUAUGGACAAAUUAGAUAAUUAACAAUUAUAUUUUUAUAUGCUAGAAUGGUAUAACGAUAAUUAUAUAUUAAAAUUACUAUUUUCGUUAAAAGUAACUGUUUUCGUUAGUGAAUAGGGGUGUAAAUGUCUUUUUUAAAAUGCUAGGGGGAUUUUUGUCCCUUUAUCUAAAUGUUGGAGUUGUGUUUGUCAUUUUUCCUAUAAUUAAUAAAUAACAUUAUGACGUAUCGAUUAUUUAUCUAACUACUCUCUUGUGUGAUUUUGUAAAGUUAAUGAGGUAAAUGCUAACAUAUUCCAUUACGUUAGCAUUACGAGUUUUGAGAGGCCCGCAUAGGGAUGGCAAUGGGCACCGCCCGCAGCGGGUUUUAAUUUUUUUACAAAAACCCACCCGCAGCGGGUUUUAACAAUUACCAAACCCGCAAUGGUAUCUGACGGAUUUUUUGCGGGUUUCCGUAUUUAAAAUCACAAAUGUUUAAUAUAUAAAUUUAUAAUAAUAACCUCAAAUUCCAUAUAACAUACUCAAUUUUAUAUUUAAAUAAUGUAAAUGAAAAAUUAAAAUUUCCACAUCAAUUCAACACAAAUUCUCAAAUUUAAGUAUAAAUUACACAAAUCCAUUUAAAAAACACAAACUAGUAUCUAAAAAUAAUAAUUACAUUUCAUAUUAUCAUUUAAAACAAGCUCCAAGAGAAGAUAUUCAUUUCAUUCACCACCAUAAGCACCCAUCCAACACAAUGCCUAUAAUAAUAAUUAAGAUUAAUAUUUUCAAAUACUAAUUCGAAGGAAAAUGCCUUUAGUUUUCUUUAGAUUAUGACUUUAGAAUAGGAUAUAGGCCACAUACACACAUACACAACUUUGAGCCUUUGGCUAUUUGGUAAUUUAAUUAAUGACAUUAUUUUCUUUAUACAUUUUUAGAUUAAAAUUAAAUUAAAAAUAUUUGAAAAAAAUAUUGCGGGUUUGGUGGAUAUCCAUGCUAUUUGGUAAUUUGAUUAAUGACAUUAUUUUCUUUAUACAUUUUUAGAUUAAAAUUAAAUUAAAAAUAUUUGGAAAAAAUAUUGCGGGUUUGGUGGAUAUCCAUGCGGGUAUCCACCGGAUAUAAGGUUAUACCAAAUCCACCCGCAUCCAUGUGCGGGUUUUAAUUUAUAAUACUAAACCCGCCCACAACGGGCGAAUUUUUACGGGUGGGUUUGGGCGGGUUUGUGGGUUUGCGGGUACAAUUGCCAUCCCUAAGCCCGCAGAGCAAUAUAUACAUAUAUAGAUUGUUCGCUUAGAAACAGCAACCUCACUCAACAGAAAGUUGAGAGGAUAAUAGAAGAGAAAUGGCGGGGGCAGUGAAGAGAAUCAAGCUGGGUUCACAAGGUCUAAGAGGUUUCAGCGCAAGGCUUAGGAUUCAUGGGCAUGUCCGCCUUCUACGGGCCCCGAAGCCCGAAUCCGAUAUGAUAGCCUUGAUCCACCAUGCCAUUGACAGUGGCAUCACUUUACUUGACACUUCCGAUUCUUACGGACCUCACACAAAUGAAAUCCUUCUGGGCAAAAGUAUUUAUAAGUUCUCUAUAAUUUUAGUUAUUACAUGUAAGCACUUGAUUUAACCAGUUUUUAAUUAGUUUCAUUUGACUGACUAUUGGAGUUCGAAUCCUACAAAGAUUAUAAGAAAAAAAUUGAUUUGGAUUUUACCCAUCCUUUAAAAAACACAUAAAAAAUUUGUAAGCAUGUGACUAUCAUUAUUGACAAUAUAGUUACGACAAGAAGUCUGCAAGAAUUUCAUUACAGAUUAGAUUAAUUUUCAAGUAUUUAGAAAAAAAAAUCACUAUAAUAUCUCACUCAAAUACUUAAAAGAUUAUUCAUCGAGUGAUUUUCAUACUUAUGUCCUAUUUGGGAUUGAGAUUGAACGGCUAUAGUGUAAAAAGAAUAGCACUAAAGUAUUUGGUAAAAAGAAUAGCAUUAAAGUAUUUGGUAAACACUGGCCGGUAUAGCGUGAAAACUAAGUUGAUUUGAUUUUAUACUUGUAUGAUGAAAAAUUUAUUAUAUCUUUACUAAUUUUUAAAAAAUUAUUAUUUAAAAAUUAUAUUUAUUACAUAUUAUUAACUUUUACUUUAUAAUUACAAUAUUUUUUUCAUAACAAUUGUAACUCAAAAGGUACAGUACUUCAAUACCAAACAUAACCUUAGACCCUAGUUCUAAGAUAAUAGAAUGAUCAAAAGACAAUAUUUCCCUUACAAAUUGCUAUAGAGCCAGAUAGUUCAAAAGAGAUAAUUUAAAUAUUAGGGUGCGUACAAUAUUGUUUUCAAAUCUAAUUUUUUAUUUUCUAAAUUCAGAAAAUACUAGAUAAGUAUUCAAAAAUGAUACUAAAUAUAUUUUAAAAUUUAAAAAUAACAUUUUCAUUGUUAUUUUUAUUUCAAGAAAACAACAUUUGGAAAACAGGCCUUAAGCUUCACAAAAAAAAAAAAAAAAUUACUUUUUUUUGUCAAAAUUUUUUGGAAGAUAGUGACAGUCAUGGGCGGCUCCUCCUGGGCAAUUAUGAAGCCUUUCCUAGACCAUUACUUUUCCUUUAAAAUGUACCCUGAGCUCUUUCUAAAAAAAUUAAAUAAAAAGAAUUUGGGCAUAUUUUUUAUAUAACAAAAUACUUAUAAUUUAGUGAUAAUUGUGCUUUUUAGUAAUUUUAGAGACUUGGUUCAAAUUUCAAUAGCCAUAUAAUUUUAUUUCUCUAUAUAUUUCAUUCUCAAAAACUCAAAUUCUAUUUUUCCUCUUAAAUUUUAAAAAUAAUAGUAAUAUGUUGUUUAUUUUAAAUGUUGAACCUCAUUAUAAACAUUGAAAAAAAAGAAAAAUAAAUACUCCAACUUAAAUUAAAACUUUUUGAACUAAAUCCUACUUUAAAGUGUUUGGGUUUAAUCCAUAUCAGAUGCUGUAAUGGGUGACGCAAAUAAGUGGGCCUUUGCUCGUGGUGCAGGCGAAGCCGGCGCAGCCCAGGAUUUGGCUUUUUUAGUGGAGAAUUAUUAUUACUCCCACAUCUUGUUAAUUUCUAGGAUUUCUAAUAUAAAGCAGAUGAGAUGUUGCAAAGUCAUGCCAUGUGGGACAGUGGGAUCAACAGCGCCUUCAACAUUUAUAUUGUAAAUCCACGGUGGGAUCCAAAAUAUUUCCACGACCACACAUGCAAACACUUGAUUAUGACUCCAAAUCUCCAAUUUAAUUAAUUUAUUAAUCUUUUAAUUUUUUUGGUCCACUCAAAUUCAGUAAUCAUCUCAUGAGAGCGAUAUUAGUACAUUUAUAUAAUCAAAUACAUCCAGCACCACAAAGUCCAGAUUCCAAGGGCAGAUCUUAAAAUCAUAGAAAUAAUCAAAUAAAUAGUGGAUACUAGUUGACAUUCCCAAUUUGCCACUGGCCAUGUUAUUAUACUUUAUGUUAAAAACAGAUUAAAGGCAAUGGAUUUUGCCAAGUCUUUGUUGAACAAGUUCCAGCUUUACAGGUCUCAAGCCAAGGAAGCAACCAACUUGAGUAGAAGCCAAUAUUUCUUUUGGUCCCAUGAAAGACCUGGCUUCUCAAGUGCUUCCAUUAUCAUGAUAUGAUAAAAUCAUACUCCCACAUCUUGUUAAUUUGACAGCCCUUAGCCGCCAGUUUGGGCCAACUUUUAAUUGUUCGAUUGGAAAGAUUUUAAAAUAUUUGUGAAGCAUUAUGCCAGUAAUAUAAUUAAGGGAAAAUGACUAACACACCCUCAAUAUUUAGACAUAGGGACAAAAAUUUUCUAACAUUUUAAAAAAGAUAUUUACGUCCCCAUUCACUAAUAGAAACAAUUAUUUUUAACGAAAAUAGUAAUUUUAAUAGAUAAUUACCGUUAUACCCUUCUAACACAUAAAAAAAUAAUUGUUAAUUGUCCAAUUUGUCCAUAUAUUAUUAAUAAAAUUACAAAUAUACCCUCAUUGCUCAAAUAAUUGUUUAAAUUUUUAUCAAAUUCUCUCAUCAAGCCAAAUAAAUUUAAUCCAUUACUCAAGAAUAAAAAUAAAUAAAAUUAGUUAUUAAUGCCAUAAGAAUAACAAUUCUCUACAUGUCAAUCAUUUUAACUUGUAUAAUCAACAAAAUAAAAAAAAAGGCUGGUUACAACAAUAAUUACAAAAAUCUUAUCUUAAUUGUAUUAAAUAACAUAUCCAAUAGACAUAAAAAUUGAUAAUGGAUUAAAUUUAUUUGGCUUGAAGAGAGAAUUUGAUAAAAAAUUAAAUAGAGGAAUUGGCCAAUGAGGGUAUUUUUGUAAUUUUAUUAACAAUAUAUGAACAAAUCAGAUAAUUAAUAAUUAUAUUUUUAUGUGCUAGAAUAGUAUAACGGUAAUUAUAUAUUAAAAUUAUUAUUUUCGUUAAAAAUAACUGUUUUCAUUAGUGAAUAGAGGUGUAAAUUUCUUUUUCAAAACGUUAGAGAUAUUUUUAUCCCUUUAUCUAAAUGUUAGAGUUGUGUUUGUCAUUUUUCCUAUAAUUAAUAAAUAACAUUAUGACGUAUCGAUUAUUUAUCUAACUAUUCUCUUGUGUGAUUUGUAAAGUUAAUGAGGUAAAUGCUAACGUAUUCCAUUACGUUAGCAUUACGAGUUUUGAGAGGCCCGCAGAGCAAUAUAUCUACAUUGUUCGCUUAGAAACAGCAACCUCACUCAACAGAAAGUUGAGAGGAUAAUAGAAGAGAAAUGGCGGGGGCAGUGAAGAGAAUCAAGCUGGGUUCACAAGGUCUAGAGGUUUCAGCGCAAGGCUUAGGAUGCAUGGGCAUGUCCGCCUUCUACGGGCCCCCGAAGCCCGAAUCCGAUAUGAUAGCCUUGAUCCACCAUGCCAUUGACAGUGGCAUCACUUUACUUGACACUUCCGAUUCUUACGGACCUCACACAAAUGAAAUCCUUCUGGGCAAGGUAAUAUAAUUUAUCUUCUAUUUCCUUCCUUUAAUUUCAAAAGGGUAUGUUUGGAAUUGGCAAAUAAUAAUAUAUUGGCUUUGAUUAAUUUGGUUUUGGGAUUAGGCUCUGAAAGGAGGGUACAGAGGAAGAGUUGAAUUGGCUACUAAAUUUGGUAUCAGAUAUGAGGAUGGCCAGUACUCAUACUGUGGGGAUCCUGCUUAUGUAAGAGCUGCAUGUGAGGCCAGCUUGAAGCGUCUGGAUGUUGACUGUAUUGAUCUUUAUUACCAACAUCGCAUUGACACUAAAGUCCCCAUUGAAGUCACGGUUUGUCGCUUUUAAUUUAUAUAUUUGUCUCAAUCAUGCAUGUUAAACUAUAUUAGUCUGUUAGCCUCUGGGUAGCUCGGCUGCCAAUGAAUAUGAAACACAGAAUAUUUAAAAAUACAGACAUGGGUCACUUCGGUGGGUGAGGUUUCUGUUAUCAUGUACUAAUUCUUUUACUUGUGUUGUUUUUGUAAGAUUGGGGAACUCAAGAGACUAGUUGAAGAGGGUAAAAUAAAGCAUAUAGAUCUAUCGGAGGCUUUUGCUUCAACAAUUAGACGGGCUCACACCAUCCAUCCAAUAACAGUUGUGCGCUUGGAAUGGUCCUUGCGGUCGCGAGAUGUGAAGGAAGAGAUGUGAAGGAAGAGAUUGACUAUGAGUAGAUGAUUUAACAUUUGCAUGCUAACGCAAUUUUGGUGGUUGCUCUGCUCAGGGAACUUGGCAUUGGAAUUGUUGCUUACAAUCUUCUAGAAUGUGAGUUUCUUUCAUCCGGACCAAAGUUGAUACACCUCUUUGCAACCAAAGGAUGCAUCGGUUAAGUUUACAUUGUUCGCUUAGAAACAGCAACCUCACUCAACAGAAAGUUGAGAGGCUAAUAGAAGAGAAAUGGCGGGGGCAGUGAAGAGAAUCAAGCUGGGUUCACAAGGUCUAGAGGUUUCAGCGCAAGGCUUAGGAUGCGUGGGCAUGUCCGGCUUCUACGGGCCCCCGAAGCCCGAAUCCGAUAUGAUAGCCUUGAUCCACCAUGCCAUUGACAGUGGCAUCACUUUACUUGACACUUCCGAUUCUUACGGACCUCACACAAAUGAAAUCCUUCUGGGCAAGGUAAUAUAAUUUAUCUUCUAUUUCCUUCCUUUAAUUUCAAAAGGGUAUGUUUGGAAUUGGCAAAUAAUAAUAUAUUGACUUUGAUUAAUUUGGUUUUGGGAUUAGGCUCUGAAAAGAGGGUACAGAGGAAGAGUUGAAUUGGCUACUAAAUUUGGUAUCAGAUAUGAGGAUGGCCAGUACUCAUACUGUGGGGAUCCUGCUUAUGUAAGAGCUGCAUGUGAGGCCAGCUUGAAGCGUCUGGAUGUUGACUGUAUUGAUCUUUAUUACCAACAUCGCAUUGACACUAAAGUUCCCAUUGAAGUCACGGUUUGUCGUUUUUAAUUUAUAUAUUUGUCUCAAUCAUGCAUGUUAAACUAUAUUAGUCUGUUAGCCUCUGGGUAGCUCGGCUGCCAAUGAAUAUGAAACACAGAAUAUUUAAAAAUACAGACAUGGGUCACUUCGGUGGGUGAGGUUUCUGUUAUCAUGUACUAAUUCUUUUACUUGUGUUGUUUUGUAAGAUUGGGGAACUCAAGAAACUAGUUGAAGAGGGUAAAAUAAAGUAUAUAGGUCUAUCGGAGGCUUCUGCUUCAACAAUUAGACGAGCUCACGCCGUCCAUCCAAUAACAGCUGUGCAGUUGGAAUGGUCCUUGUGGUCACGAGAUGUGGAGGAAGAGAUUGUUCCUACUUGCAGGUAAGGCAUUAUUUGGACCAAAUGAAUUGUUUUGACCUAGUUGAAAGGAAAAGAAAUUAUGAGUAGAUGAUUUAACAUUUGCAUGCUAACGCAAUUUUGGUGGUUGCUCUGCUCAGGGAACUUGGCAUUGGAAUUGUUGCUUACAGUCCUCUAGGACGUGGGUUUCUUUCAUCCGGACCAAAGUUGGUUGAAAGCAUUGCACCGGAUGAUUCUAGACAUGUCCGUAAGCCUACCAUGCAUUUAUUAUUCGAUGUCUGCAAGCAUGUUUAAAACCUUCUCUCAUGAUACUCUACAGUGACUUGCAUACUAUUUUAUCUUAUAAACCUCUGAUAUUUAUCUAGAGCCAUAGUUAUAGUUAUUCUAACCUAACCCGGUAGGACUUGUUUAAGAAUUCUCUUUCUUAGAUAUUCUACUAGUUCAUUUCGAUCGUCUAAUUACACUGAAGUUGCCUGUGUAUGGAUUGCAUCGAGAGGAUUGAGGAAAAAUGAAAAUUCAAUUACUAAGGACUGAAUACACUGUAAUCCUUUUUGAAGUGACUUGUCUACCAAAACUUAUUCAUCAUUAGCUAAAUGUUUGGUGUUUACUAAUCAUGUAUUUUUACUUUCAUCAUAUUUACAUUACUUGUCUUCUUUAUUACACAUUCAUUCUCAUUUAGCAAUACAAUAAUAAUUCUUGUUUAGUUUUACUCUAUAGCUCUGAAAUUCUUCAUAGAUUUCAAUUGUUUCCCUCAGAUUAUGUUCAUUAACCUCCUCAAAUAUGAGCAAAAGCUUUCUUUGCAUUGAAAAUAUGAGGAAUUAUCUAUGCAAUGACUUCAUUGAUGGACAGAAAAUUUUAACAUGACUGAUUCAAUUUAUAUACAUGAUAAUACCCCUUAAGUUGUAUAGAGGUGAAAAAAAAAUGAGGGAAAAAAAUUGUUCCAUUACCUCAAAACUAUUACUGGAUGCUCAAGAAGUUUAGCUGUAACGACUCUUCCAAACUUCUACAUCCUUGUGGCAGUUUCCAUUUUUGUUAUAUUGCUUUGCCUAUGCACGUCAAUGUGAAAUCAAUUGACAAGUCCAAGGAGAGUUUAUUUCUUGUGAGACCUUUGUCUAACAUGCCAAAAUGUUUUACUAUAAACAUCCUCCACCUAGGAGAAGUCCCCGACUAGUCCUUUUUCUUUGUUUUCUGGUCUAUUGAAUUUUACAUAAACCUCCUCUAAAAUCAUGCUUUAUCCAAAAUGAUGUUCUUUUUUUUAAUGAUUCAAUUGCAGUUCAGUUUUGGUACUGAGCUGUUUUCUAAAUCUUGCAGCAUCUACCGAGGUUCCAACCUGAAAAUUUAGAGCAUAACAAAAAGCUAUUUGAACGUGUUAAUGAAAUAGCAGUAAAGAAAGGAUGCACCCCAUCUCAGCUUGCAUUAGCAUGGGUUCAUCACCAAGGAAAUGACGUGUGUCCGAUUCCUGGAACCACUAAGAUUGAAAACCUGAAUCAAAAUAUUAAAGCUCUGUCAGUGAAACUUUCUCCAGAAGAAAUGGCUGAGCUUGAAUCCAUUGCUUCAGCAGAUGCUGUAAGGGUUCAUCGGUAUGGGGGUGUCACUCCUACCUACGAAGACUCUGAAACUCCACCUCUGUCUUCGUGGAAACCUUCAUAAAGGGCAUUGGUAUUCUGCUUCUUAGUACCGAUUUUGCAAUUGCAUGUAGUUCCUAGGUUCUGUUGUGGGUAAAAUCAUUGUGUUCUCAUACGAGACCCUAUCAGUACCUUUCUGCACUUUCCACAAGCAUUUAGUGAAUAUUGUAUUGAGUUCCUAUGCAGUGUUGUAAGUAAAACUAAAUCAUUGUAUCUUCUGCAGUGAGCGCAAAAACAAUGUAAUGUGUUUAUGCAAAUAUAUGAGAAACAAUAACAAAUCAAAAUGGAGUAAUAUUUAUCUGAAAUUUCUGGAAGUUUAGAUGAUCUGAAUCAGGGGCGAAGUCAGAAAAAAUAUCUUGGGUAGGCUAAAUUUUUUCCAAAUCCAAAUAUUAUCUUGGUUAAAAAUAUAAAUUUGAAAGAAAAUUUUGUUAUACAUAAGAAAAUAUAUCAUGUCUAAGAAGUAAUUUACCAUACUUUCGAGAAUUAAAUCCAUCUAUUAUCGAAUUUAAAUUGACGGUGUUUAUAAAUUCUCUUUUAACGUAGAUAACUAUACAAUUUGAUAAAAAUUCCUUCUCUUCCUUAUUUUGAAGUCGUGUCUAUGCUCGUUUGGGUGUUUCAGUCAAAACAUGGUAUAGUUAUAAAAGAAGUUAGAAGAAAUAAUCACAAAUUUACUAAUAAAAGCCAUAGAACCGUCAAUCUGUCACUACGACACAUUAACACUAUCCAGAAGCCAAACAAUAAGUUCAAUUAACAAAUUAACUUUAUGUAUAAUGUACUGAAUUGAAUCUAUGAUCCAUCUCUAUCAAUUAUCAAUUUCAAAUAUCUCUAAUCUAUCAAUAAUUAAUUUAAAUUUUUGAAUGCUAGAAUUUAAUGGCUAAAUUAUCUUCAUUUGACCCAACAAUAAUUUAAUUUUACACAAUGAAAUUGGAACAAGAAUUAAAUAAUAUAAUCUUUAGUCUUUACUACCUAACAAUUAAUAAGUGUACUGUAAAUGAUUGAAUAAACAAUAAAUGUAUUAUCUAUUCUUGUCAAGAAGAAGACGAAGAACUGAAGAAGCCAAGAAAGAAAGCACGUUCUGGAAUCUUGAAUGAAGUAAAUGCUCCCUUUUUUGUGUAUAUUUAUUUGAAUGACAAAAUUGUAAAUUAAUAGAGUGGUACUACUGUAAAUAAAAUAGUGGCAAUUUUAUAAACUUUGCAUUAUGAUAUUUUUGUAAAUUUUCUAAAAAUUUCCCAACCCACUUGGAGCCUCACCACUGAUGUGAAGAGCAAUGCUAGAUGUCCCAACAUAAGUCUUAAUUUGAAUUCCUACUGACGUGGAAUUCAUCUAUUGAAUGGUGGUUAAAUAAUUUUACUAGAUAUUACAUCCAUUAUUCAAUUGAUGAGUGACACAUAUCAUUGCGAGUCAAAUUGAGACUCAAAUGUUAGGAUCCUAAACAUUAUUGCUGAUCUAAAUUUAUUGUAGCAUUAUAUGUUUCUUGUUGUUGCACGUGACAUCCUUCCUCAACAAAAAAUUAUUCAAUGAUUUCAGAUCAAUCGAAUACUUUUACUGUGUUACAAAGUGGCCUCUACGAGAUUACCAAAUUGAUUCACAAUUUUUCACAUCAUUUUACCGGAAAUUAAAUUAUUUCAACCAAUUGAUUAUGCUUAGUCAUGGUAAAAACUCAAGUCGGUCCCGGAUAUGGCAAUACUCAAAUUUGGCCCAAGCAUGUUUUUUUUAACAUUGAGGUUGAGCCUAAAACCUCGGCCCCAAAUGGAUUUUCUUUUAUGGGCUUAAAAAAUCCAGAAUUAUAUUUUAUAAUAUUAUAUAUGUAUAUUUGCAAUCACCUCAUAUUGAUAAAAAGUCCAGAGAACAAUUUGAAAUGGAAAUCAAAUCAAGAAACAAUUUCUGGUCAUAAAAGCAGAAACGCAUGAAUUGCGCAAGAAGUUCUUUCGGUUAAAACCUAUACCUGGAGGUGUUCAGAAUCCAAUCCGAUCCACUCAAUCCGAUUCGUAUAAAUCCGAUCCGUGGAUUGGUGGAUUGGAUAUGAAUUUACUUCUGUAAAUCCACAAAAAUCCGUGAAUCCACAAAAAAAAAAAAAAUAUAUAUAUAUAUAUAGAUAAUUAAAUCCGUGGAUUGGAUAUGGAUUGAAAAUUUAAAAAUCUGCAGUCGAUGGAUUGGAUAUGGAUUUACUUCUGUAAAUCUGUGAAUCCGCAAUAUAUAUAUAUAUAUAUAGAUAAUUAAAAAAUUAUUAUAAAUUUAAUUAAAAAAAUUAUAAAUGUGACAUUACAUAGUUACAUAAGCACUAUAACAUAUCUUAGCCAUUACCCAAUAAUAAUAUAAAAUAAAAAAUAAUUAAAUAAUCAAAUAUACAAAUAUAACUUGUAAAAAUUGUAAAACAAAAUAAAAGCAAAGUCACACGCACUAGCAAAAGUAAAGUAACAUAACGUUAAGUCACCAACAAUUUGCAAAGUCACCCAAAAGUAAAAUAACAUGUUGUCAAGUCACCAACAAUUUGCAAACAAAAAACCCUAAGCUUCUCCGUCGUCACACACACUAACAACACUCAAUACUGGUUGGAUACACUCUCGACACGGAUUUGAAGGACAUCGGGCGUGCGAUCCCAGUGAGAGCAAGCCAUCUUCUUUCCCAAGUCCAUCGAGCCACUUCACAUUCACUGGUUCCAGCUGAACAAUUUCACUAUCACAACCUUCAAGAUCGCCACCCGUACGGCUUCUCCUGGUUCCCAUCGUGGACGGCUCAGUAAUCACCACUUUUCGACAGGCGCAACAGCCCUAGUGAAGGAUCAGACCGUGUUUGGUUUCCGAAAAUUCGUCAUUUCAAUUAAUUGUGGCUUUAUUUGAACAAUUAAUUUCGGUGUUAUAUUAACGUAUUAUUGUAACUUUAUUUGAACAAUUAAGCUUGGUGUGUUAUAUUUUGAAACUUUGAACGUAUUAUUGUAGCUUUAUUUGAAUAAUUAGUCUCGAUGUAUUAUAUUUUAAAAAUUUAAAUGUAUUAUUUUAGCUUUAUUUAAAUUAUUUAUUUAUUUAAAUUUAUUCAAUUUUAAAUUUAAUUGGUAGCAAAAUUAUUUUUAUAUUAGAUUUUUUUAUUUCAUUAGUUGGAGAGAACUAAAAAUUUUAAUUCGAAAACUAAUGCGCAAAAUGGUAGAUUGGAUAUGGAUUGAGUCAAAUCUGCAUCUAAUCCGCAGACGUAUGGAUUGGAUAUGGAUUGAGUCAAAUCCGCAUCCGAUCCGCAGAUGUAUGGAUUAGAUUUUGAUUGAAUUUUAUCAAUUUAUGGAUUGGAUUGGAUUAAAAAAUUAUAAUCCGCAAAAUCAUGGAUCGGAUAUGGAUUGAUGUCCAAUUCGUAAAAUCCGAUCCGCGAACACCCCCACCUAUACCUCAUGCACUUUUUAUCCUUUUGAGGUUAAUGCAAAGACCCAAAUGGCCCAGGCUGGGAUGGCUUUCGACCUAAGCGGGUUGCGCUGUAGGGACCUAUUUUAGUUUUAUGAUUUUUAAAUUUUAUUUAAUGAAUUUGGGUUUUCAAAUAUGAACUUUAAAUAUUUAAAAUUUUAAAUAUGUAUAAUCUAUGGGUCAAAUAAAUAUAGUUAUUUAAAAUAAUGUAUUUUAUAAUAUUUUUUCAUAAAAUUCAGGUUUUUGGACGAAUCUAAAUUUAUCAAGUGAAACGUAAACUUGGCCCAGCCUCAUCUUUGGACUAGAUAUUAUUGGCCCGCAUUGCCUAGUCCAAUCUGUAAAAAUAUUUUUCACAGUUCCUAUUGCCUUUCAGGCAUUUCACACAUUUCAUUGCGUAUUUUUUAUGGUUAAUUUGAUCACCUUCUUUGCAGUAAAUGAUAAAUAGAUACAUUUAAGAAUUAAUUCAUCUAAAAAUCAGGGAAAAAAAGCAUAUAUACCCCCUUGGGAACAUUAAUGUUGCUAUAGACCUCCUUGGUUUAAUAAAUAAUCACACAAAUGUUUUUUGAUGAUUAUACACAUCGAUUUUAACAAUCUAAUUAUUAUAUAUUUUAUAAAUUAUUUUGAAUAAAAAAAUUAAUUUAAUAUUAUUAAUCUAUCAUAUAUGUUUUAAUUUAAUAAAAUCUAUUUUGCAGAUCAAUAAUAUUAAAAUACUUGUAUUUAACAUUAAAAAUAAUUUACAAAAUUCUGUAUUAUAUAUCUUAUUUAUUUAUUUUUAUGUUAUGUCUAUAUUAGCUUAAUUUUUUAAGUUUGGGUAGGAUUUUUUUUAAGCCAAUAAAGAAUUAAUCUAUGAAAUACCAGAAUCUACGGUGAGUCAUGAAAAAUAUAAAUUUAAAGAUUUUACUCAAUUUUUUAUUGCUACAAUUUCACUCUAGAGUAAAAUGACAGAUAAAUCAAUAAUAUAUAACAUAUUUAAUAAUACAAUUCAACAGUUUCUUCUAUCAUAUAAACACCCUUUUUUUUCUCAUAAAAAGGGUUUACAUCUAGGGGUGAUAAUAUAGAUAAGGAUUUAUUGAUUCCAUUUGAUUCUAUUUGAAUUAAAAGCAUUUAGGUUUGAAAAAUUACUUCGUCUAAUAAAUGGACAAUUUUGAUUGAAUUUGUUAAGUGAACAAAUUGAAUGUCACACUGAUUUGUUUAUUUUUUUAAGAUCCAUUUAUUGAAUGAUACAAUAAAUAUAAUUAUGCCAAAAAAAAAAGUCUCACUAGUUCAGGACAAAACUACUUUGCAACCGUUGUACCAAACCCUCAAAUUUGGUAUUUUCUUUAACAGUCCCUAUAGUUUUCUGUAAAUAAUAAAAACUAUAAAUUUUAAAAAAUUUAUGCAAUAAGCCCCAAUUAAAAUAUAAUAAUUUCAAAUUAAAAUAAUUAUUUAGUGUUUUCUUUAGCAAUCCCUAUUGUUUUCUAUAAAUAAUAAAAACCAUAUGUUUUAAUAAUUUUAUGUAAUAAGCCCCAAUUAAAAUAUAAUAAUUUUCAAAUUCUAAAAAAUUUAUUCUCUCUAUCUCCUUCUCAAAUUAGUUUUCAUACUUUAAAUCUUAAUUUAUUCAUUAUCAAACAUAUAAUUCUUCUAAAACAUAAAAAAUAAGUCUUCUAACUAUAUAAAUUAGAUUAAUUUCUUAAACACAAAACCUAAAAAACAUAAUACUUGCAUUUUCUCAAAAGAAAUAUAUUGUGUUUAUGUUUUUUUUCUUUACCAUUGUAAUAAAGAAAGAGUUAUAUAUUACUUUAUAUAACAAGAUCUAAUCAAUUAGGGCCUAUUGAAUGUGAUUAAAGAUGGUGGGAUGGGUUUACUUUACUAAAAUUUAAACUCAAUAAGGUGUUUGGCAUGAAUAAGUAAACUAAAAAUAAUACAACUUAGGCUACCAAAUUAUCAUGUGAUAAAUAAUUUUUUUUUUACCCUAAGGAGACCCUAGAAUGAGGUUUUUAGACUAAAUUUUUGUCUUAUGUUAACAACAAAAAUUAAAAAUGUUACGUUAGAAGCCUAAAAAGUUUGUUAAUUUUAAUUUUUUUGAAAGGUAUCCUCCCAUAAUCUAUUAAUUUAAGUUAUUAUUCAUUCUUUACAAUUUUAAAUUUAAGUUUCAUUCUUUAUAAUUUUAAAUUUAAGUAAUAGAAUAAAUAUUAUACAAUGCAUUUGUUUUCACAUUAAAUAAAUAAUUAAUCAGCUUCAUACGUGUAAUAAGGAAUAAAUAAUUUUACAUAAUUUCAAAUUUACAUAUAGAAAUUUAUUAUUUUGAAAAUAUUAUUUAUAAACUCCAUAAUGAAAUUUAAAUGACUAUCCAAGUAUUUAUUUAAUAUUUAUUUAUUUUUCAUUUUGAUAUUGUCAAAAAUUUUAUAAAACCUUAUCCAAUAUUGUAUUACACAAAAAACAAGAUAAUAUUAUUAUAAUCCAAUUGGUAUUUUAAGUAAAUGGAAGUGGAGAGUGUUUUAGCAAAUUAAAAUAAUCCAUCCAUAUUUUUAAUAUAUAAAUGUGUUCAUUUACAAUAAAAUAUUUUACUGGACUAAUGUGUCAAAUUUUGAAAUUUAAUCUUUCCUUAUUUUUUUUAGUAAACAGAAGGGACUGCAUCGUUAAUAGCCAAGAAAGUCCAUCCAUGCCGUUGGAAUAGCUUUUGCAACUCUUGAGUUGAAUCCAAUGGUUGGAUCGCAAAAAGACAAAAAAUAGUGUAUGAAACAAUAUUUUUAUUGUAGCUGGACCCUAAUUCAAAAUAUGAAUGUGGAUUUAAGCUCACUGGUUCGGUUGAAAUUUUGGAGUUAGGAUGGUUCGUUUAUUCUAUUAUUAAUGAAUUUGUAAUUUAAACAUCGAAGUUAGAAACUUUGGAGUUUCAAACUUCUAACCCAAUUCAUUAUAUUGAAUUUACCGACUUUUAACCUAAUUCAUGAAUUCAUUUUGCUACCCUAUUUACAUCUAUACAUGUAUUAGUUCAACAAUUUCUUACAUCAUAUAACCCUAAUUUCUUUUUUACAUUAUAAACAUUUUGUAUAUUUCAUUCAAAAACAUCAUGAUUGUGGAUAUUGAACACUAAAAUAAUUCAGAAAACAUUACAAGGUUAAUUUUUAGUAUUAAGUGGGUUAGUUUAAGUGGAGUAUAUUAUAUUAUACAAAGAGUAGCCUUUUGACACCUUUUUAAGGUUGAGGCUAAUUAACCCUCUAGGUUACUCAUUAAACUCACAUUUUAAUAAACUUAAUUGUUACUAAAAUAUCAAUAACAUAAAUUACAAUUAUAGACAUAUGAUUAUUUGAAAACAAUUAUACUGGUGUUUUAUUCCAUCUUCAAACUCAAUAUGAAUUUAAUCAGUUUUAUAAUACUCGUGUUUUCUUGAAUCUUUAGUCAUUUAUUGAAUUUUUACUCGUCUACACUUUGUAUUCCCUCAAAUUUGUUUGAUAUUUGGAUUAUUUGGCCAAAAGUUUAUUGUUCAUAAAUAACUCCUCCUAAAUCCAACUGAUAAUUUCUUCUCAAUAAUGGAUUCUCUCUUACACAUGCGAGUAUGGGCAAACCUGGUCUCUAAUUAGUAUUUUAAGAAAUAAAAAAUAUCACCAUUCACUACCCAAUAAAUAUAUAAUAUAAACAAUUUUUUGCGGGCCUUUUGUUGUGGUGGGUGGGACUUGGGCAAGGGCCCCGGUGAAGGUGGCGCAGCCUUUGAUUUGGUUUUUGUGCCACGUACAUCAACACUAAAUGAGAUAAUAUUGUAUUUUUCAGUAGAGAAUUAUAAUAUAAAACUAAUAAUAAUAGCUAUUGGGCUGGUAGAUCAAUGGUAACAGUUGUUCUCAAUAAUACCGAGGAUAAUAAUUUGAAUUCCAUUUUUUUUUCUUUUCAAUCAUUUUCCUCAAUAAUAUGGAGUAGACUCUAUAGUAUUUACUAGGGCGUAAUAGAUUUUUAAACAGUCUCAAUAUACUUUUUGUUGUUUACAAAAGUAAUUAAAAGUUCUCUUUUGUUUUGCUUAGUACAUGUAAGCAUUUGAUUGGCCGCCCUAGGCUUAGCUGAUUUCCAUGUAGUUUUAUUUGUUUGGUAAUUAGAGUUCGAAUCCUCAAAGGUUAGAUGCGAAAAAACUGAUUUGGUAUUACCACCCUUUACUUUUAAAAAAACACAAAAAAAAAAGUUAUAAGUAUUUGAGUAUCAUUAUUGACAAUAUAAUUACUAGUACACUUAUUAUUAUUUUUUACAUUAUUAUUUUGUACUCUUACAGCAUGCAAUAAAAUAAAAAUUUCUGAAUUUAUUAAAAUUUAUUUAUUAUUUAUUUGAGCAUACAUUAUUAGCCCUUAUUUAUAAAGUAUUUGAUUUAUAUAUUGGACAUAUGAUGUCAAGAUAGAAGAUAAAAAUCACAAAUUCUUUAUAAAUAAAAGAUUAUUCACAUCCAUUAAUGAAAUGUCCUUUUUAUUUUAUAAGGCUGUAUAUUUUGUAUUUUUAUUGUUAAGUAACUUUAUCUUAAUUACUGAAGUAGAGACUUCAAGUAGAACUGCUGUACGGCCAAGGCGGAUGUACGGUACAGCAGUUUUUUAAAAAUUAUUUUUAAAAAAUUAUAUUUAUUACAUAUUAUUAACUUUUACUUUAUAAUGACAGCAUUUUUUUUCAUAACAACUGUAACUCAAAAGGUACAGUAUUUCAAUACCAAACAUGACCUUAGACCCUAAUUCUAAGAUAAUAGACUGAUCAAAAGACAAUAUUUCCCUUACAAAUUGCUAUAGAGCCAGAUAGUUCAAAAGAGAUAAUUAAAAUAUUAGGAUGCGGACAGUAUUGUUUUCAAAUCUAAUUUUCUAUUUUCUAAAUUCAGAAAAUACUAGAUAAGUAUUCACAAAUGAUACUGAAUAUAUUUUAAAAUUUAAAAAUAACAUUUUCAUUGUUAUUUUUAUUUCAAGAAAACAACAUUUGGAAAACAAUACCAAAUAGGGCCUUAAGCUUCACAAAAAAAAAAAAAAUUACUUUUUUUUGUCCCUUUAUCUAAAUGUUGGAGUUGUGUUUAUCAUUUUUCCUAUAAUUAAUAAAUAACAUUAUGACGUAUCGAUUAUUGAAAAGAAAGCUUAAGUCCCUAAUUUAUAUAUCAAUAAUGAAUCAAAAAAUCUAAAAUUAUAAUAAUAAACUCUCUUUUAAAUGUUAAUUAAUUAAGAAGAUACUUGAAUUAAAAAAUCUAGUAUUAAAAAAUUUAAAUCUCUACACUUUUUUUAUUGUGUUUUUUUAUUUAUUAUUUUAUUUUGAAACAUUCAUUUUCUUUAAUUCGUUGCCGAUUAUAACAACUCAUUGACUAUUAAUUCAUUUCAAGUUUUUAACAAUUUUUUUAAAAAAUGAAAAAAAUAAGUGAAAGCCCAACCCAACCCAACCCAACCCAACCCCGGCCCAAGCUUAGCCCUUAUACUUUCCCUCUAACGGGCUUGAAAAAGCCUAGUCUAAGCUUGCAUUUUGCCAUCCCUAUAUUGAUCAUUUAAAUCUGUGGUUAUAAUUUAUUCAAUAAUUUAUUUAUUAAUUAAUCACAUUUAUUUGUAAUCUAUUUACAAAUAUAUUAACAGUGAUAGUUAGAAUAAAUAGUGACUGAGGGAUAUAUAUGUAAUUACAAAGAAAGAACAUUUAUCAUGGGCUGGAUUUAAUUAAGAUUAUCAAAUAAAGAGUCAAUUAAGUGGUAAUUAUUGGUUUAAAAUCAUGUCUAAUAUUAAUUAAAAGAAGUCUUAAUUAAUUAGGCUUUUAUUUGUUACAUGGUUCAUUAGAGUGCGACAUCGGACUUUUAGUAGAAUAGCUUAGGGUUAACUUAGUUGUUUUAGAGAGUCAUAAUAUGACUGAGACUUAACUAUGAAGUUGGAUUUAGGAAGUUCAUGGAUACCCUUUGUUAGCUUAGUUUCUAGUUAUAUCUUGAUUUUAAUAAGUGCCUAUAUAAAGAAGAGGAAAUGGGAAUUAGAGUUCUCUAUAUGCCCUCAUGUGCGAGGGAGACUAUUGAUGAUAGACGAGAAAACUACAACCAUAUCCUACAGAUCCCAAUAAUGGUAGUGGAAAAAAUUAAAGUAGUUGUCUUCAAAUCUUCAGUAGGAAAUUUAAGGUGUUUCUCUAAUUUUAUGCAUUUUUAUGUAAUCAAGAAAAAAAAAAUCUGACUUUUGAUAAUUUUAUUAAAUUAAAGAAAAAAAAAUAUUUUUUAGGCCUGAUUUAACAACAACUGUAUGAGAGUGGUAUUGAUAUAUGAUAGAUUCUGGACUUACGCUAUUAUUGCUACUUUUAUUGAUUUGAAUUUAAUAGUUUACAAGAACCUCGUAGCGCUGCAUUUAUUUUCGCAUAUUUCGCAAAAAAAAAUCAAUCUCUAUAAUGUUUAUAAGUUGACUGAAAUCCCUAAAAAAUGAUUCACCAUGGUUCCAAUACUUGACCGUAGUCUUAAGGUAAUAGAAUGUUUAAAAGAUAAUUUUCCCCUUGCCAAUUACCAUAGCCAAAUAGUUUGAGGGAGAUAAUAAAAUGCAUUAAACUUAAAAAAAAAAAAAGGAAUUUUGAAAAAUCAAAACAGUGAAAAAGAUAGUGAGGGUCCAUUUACAUCUAUAGCAGAUUCUCUAGAAGGAUUAAUGGGUGACAAAAUCGUGGGCCUUUGCUUGCGAAGGUUAGGAUCCAGGCAAAGGCCCAGGUGAUGCCCGCUCAGCCUUUGAUUUGGCCUUUGUGCCAGCCACGUUAUCAACAUUGAAUGACGUAAAAUUGUACGGACUAGGGUGCAAUUGGUAUUGCCAUUCAAAUAAUGUUUUAUAAUUUUUUAAAUAAUUAAUAAUCUUGUAUGAAUUUCCUUGCUUUACUUUAUAUUUACUAGUUUCAUAUAAAAUUAGUAAAUAUAAAGUAAAACAAGUAACUUCAUACAAGAUUAUUAAUUAUUUAAAAAAUUAACAUUGCUUCUGCACAAUUUUAGUGAAAAAUAUUUUAUUCAUUUACAAAAAUAUAAAGAAAAAAUUACUCAUUAAUUAAACAAAAAUUGUACAAAAAAAGUGAAAUAUAUUUUAUUGAAUUGGUUUAACCAUAAAUUCUAUAUUUAUUUAAUUACAUUUGUAUAAUUUUUCCCAUUUUCUAUAAUGAUAUCUGUUUAUUACACAAGUUAAUUAAGUGCAAUUAUUUAUCUUGACGUGGAUCAAGCAAAUGAAUAAAUAAAUAAAUAAUUAUUCUCAUAUUACUGGACACAUAUAUGAUAUAUCAAUAAAAUUAUAUCUAAUUUUGAGUUCUAUGUAUGCUUCAUGUAGUUUCAAACUUUUUACUUGUACUUAAGAGACCAUUUAGGGUUGUUGUUGCAGAAGUGUAGAAGGAUGCAAAAUAACCUCAUGUUACAACAACUAUGAAAGAUAUUAAAAUAGUUUUUUUUUUCAAAAUCCAAUUCUGCGAAUAAAUUUCAUCCUUAAUAAAACAUCACAUGUACUACAUAAAUGCAAAACUAGCAUUAUGCAAUUUAAUUUUAAAAAAUCAUUAAAUAUAUAAGGUAAUAAAUAUUAUAAUGAGUUUUUAGUUUAUAAGAGCUUUUUUGUUAGUAACUCUUAGAUUAAUUUACUUAUUUUACCUUUUAUUCAUAAGUUUUGAGCAUAGUUUACAAAUUUUAUGUUUUAUUUUGCACUUAAUAUUGAUUUACUUGGUUUAUAUUAUAUUUGUAUGUUUUCGUUUUACUUACUAAUGAUACAUAAAUUUACUAAUUUUAUAGUAAUUUACUUGUUUUUACUUUCCUUUUGCAAGUCUUAUACUUCAUUUCUAAAAUUUAUGUUUUAUUUUAGGCCACUGCUAUGUUACGUUGAGUGUAACAUACACACACUCACAGCAACANNNNNNNNNNNNNNNNNNNNNNNNNNNNNNNNNNNNNNNNNGUUUUAUAUUAAUUUACUUGUUUUAUCCUCCAUUUACAUUUGUGCUUUAUUUUGCACUUAAUGUUAAUUUACAAGUUUUAUGUUAUAUUACAAGUUUUUGUUUUAUUUACUAAUAAUAUAUCAAUUUACGAGUUUUAUAUUAAUUUACUCAUUUUACCUUCAAUUUACAAGUUUUAUGUUUAAUUUCUAAAAUUUAUGUAUUUUACAAUUAAUAUUGAUUUACAAGUUUUAUAUUUUAUUUACAUAAAUUAUGUUUAAUUACAGUAUUGAUACCGUUACGUUAAUCAAGGCAUAAUAGAAUGAGCCUUCUUUCUAAAAUAUACUUAUAAAAUGAAAAUUUCAAAAUGUUUGAGUUGUUUAAAAAGUGAAGACGGUAAAAGAGAGUGAGAAAAAAAUACAUACUCUCAUGGCGAUAAUAUCUCUUGCAUUAGAGAAAAGAACAUUUACACCUUCAAGGUUUGAGAAAAUAGUCAUAUAGAUUCGCAAGUUCUAAAAAAUAGACACCAAAACUCAUUUUUGAUCAUAAUACCUUUUAAAUAUAUUAACUAAAAAAUUACUGCUGUACUUUUAGGGAGUAUCAUUAAUAUUAGAAUAAAUAAUAAAUAAUAAAUAAAUUUUACUAAUAGAGAACCUUUUAAAAAUUACCAAAUAAUACAAUUAGUAUUGUUGAAUAAAAAAUAAUUAAAAAGUAUUAAAGAUAAUUAGAAUUGGAUUAUAAAAUAAAUAUUGGUAAUGGGCCCACAUAAUGACAGACAUGAUUUUUAUUUUGUUGUUGUUCUAGUGGUACUUGUAGUACCCAUUUAAAAAAUGAAAAUUGAAAAUCAUGAAUGCCUUAUUGUCCAAUUUUCUUCUCUAAAGUUAGAGAAUGAGAUUAAACAUUCUUACUUGAAAUUAAAUACCAUAAAAUAAGUGUACCAAACAAAUUUUACAAUUUUCUUAGAAAAUGAAAAAUAGCAAAACAUAAAUAAUAUCAAAUACAUGCUUAUCUUCUAAAAAAAAAAAUAGCCAUUGGACUAAUUAAUCAAUGCUGACAGGUAUUCACAAUAAUAUUGAGGACACUAUUUGAAUUUCAUGGCUUUUUUUUACUCAUUUUCUCAACAGUAUGAAGUAAAUUUUUUGAGUAUUUACUAAGACGUGAUAGAAUUUCAAGUUAGUCUUAAUAUACUUUGGGUUGCUUACAAAAGUAAUUAUAAGUUCUCUAUAAUUUUAGUUAUUACAUGUAAGCACUUGAUUGCCCACCUAAGGAUUUAACCAAUUUUUAAUUAGUUUCAUUUGAUUGACUAUUGGAGUUCCAAUCUUACAAAGAUUAUAAGAAAAAAAUUGAUUUGGAUUUUACCCAUUCUUUAAAAAACACAUAAAAAAAAUUGUAAGCAUGUGACUAUCAUUAUUGACAAUAUAGUUACGACAAGAAGUCUGCAAGAAUCUCAUUGCAGAUUAGAUUAAUUUUCAAGUAUUUAGAAAAAAAAAUCACUACAAUAUCUCACCAAAUACUUAAAAGAUGAUUCAUCGAGUAAUUUCCAUACUUAUGUCCUAUUUAGGAUUGAGGUUGAACGGUUGUAGUGUAAAAAGAAUAGCACUAAAGUAUUUGAUAAAAAGAAUAGCACUAAAGUAUUUGAUAAACACUAGUUGGUAUAGCUUGAAAACUAAAUUGAUUUGAUUUUCUACUUGUAUGAUGAAAAAUUUAUUAUAUCUUUACUCAUUUUUAAAAAAUUAUUAUUUAAAAAUUAUAUUUAUUACAUACUAUUAACUUUUACUUUAUAGUUACAGUAUUUUUUUCAUAACAACUGUAACUCAAAAGGUACAUACUUCAAUACCAAACAUGACCUUAGACCCUAGUUCUAAGAUAAUAGACUGAUCAAAAGACAAUAUUUCCCUUACAAAUUGCUAUAGAGCCAGAUAGUUCAAAAGAGAUAAUUAAAAUAUUAGGGUGCGUACAAUAUUGUUUUCAAAUCUAAUUUUUUAUUUUCUAAAUUCAGAAAAUACUAGAUAAGUAUUCAAAAAUGAUACUGAAUAUAUUUUAAAAUUUAAAAAUAACAUUUUCAUUGUUAUUUUUAUUUCAAGAAAACAACAUUUGGAAAACAAUACCAAAUAGGGCCUUAAGCUUCACAAAAAAAAAAAAAAUUACUUUUUUUUGUCCCUUUAUCUAAAUGUUGGAGUUGUGUUUAUCAUUUUUCCUAUAAUUAAUAAAUAACAUUAUGACGUAUCGAUUAUUGAUCUAACUACUCUCUUGUGUGAUUUGUAAAGUUAAUGAGGUAAAUGCUAACAUAUUCCAUUACGUUAGCAUUACGAGUUUUGAGAGGCCCGCAGAGCAAUAUAUCUACAUUGUUCGCUUAGAAACAGCAACCUCACUCAACAGAAAGUUGAGAGGAUAAUAGAAGAGAAAUGGCGGGGGCAGUGAAGAGAAUCAAGCUGGGUUCACAAGGUCUAGAGGUUUCAGCGCAAGGCUUAGGAUGCAUGGGCAUGUCCGCCUUCUACGGGCCCCCGAAGCCCGAAUCCGAUAUGAUAGCCUUGAUCCACCAUGCCAUUGACAGUGGCAUCACUUUACUUGACACUUCCGAUGCUUACGGACCUCACACAAAUGAAAUCCUUCUGGGCAAGGUAAUGUAAUUUAACUUCUAUUUCCUUCCUUUAAUUUCAAAAGGGUAUGUUUGGAAUUGGCAAAUAAUAAUAUAUUGACUUUGAUUAAUUUGGUUUUGGGAUUAGGCUCUGAAAAGAGGGUACAGAGGAAGAGUUGAAUUGGCUACUAAAUUUGGUAUCAGAUAUGAGGAUGGCCAGUACUCAUACUGUGGGGAUCCUGCUUAUGUAAGAGCUGCAUGUGAGGCCAGCUUGAAGCGUCUGGAUGUUGACUGUAUUGAUCUUUAUUACCAACAUCGCAUUGACACUAAAGUCCCCAUUGAAGUCACGGUUUGUCGCUUUUAAUUUAUAUAUUUGUCUCAAUCAUGCAUGUUAAACUAUAUUAGUCUGUUAGCCUCUGGGUAGCUCGGCUGGCAAUGAAUAUGAAACACAGAAUAUUUAAAAAUACAGACAUGGGUCACUUCGGUGGGUGAGGUUUCUGUUAUCAUGUACAAAUUCUUUUACUUGUGUUGUUUUGUAAGAUUGGGGAACUCAAGAAACUAGUUGAAGAGGGUAAAAUAAAGUAUAUAGGUCUAUCGGAGGCUUCUGCUUCAACAAUUAGACGAGCUCACGCCGUCCAUCCAAUAACAGCUGUGCAGUUGGAAUGGUCCUUGUGGUCAUGAGAUGUGGAGGAAGAGAUUGUUCCUACUUGCAGGUAAGACAUUAUUUGGGCCAAAUGAAUUGUUUUGACCUAGUUGAAAGGAAAAAAAAUUAUGAGUAGAUGAUUUAACAUUUGCAUGCUAACGCAAUUUUGGUGGUUGCUCUGCUCAGGGAACUUGGCAUUGGAAUUGUUGCUUACAGUCUUCAAGGAAGUGGGUUUCUUUCAUCCGGGCCAAAGUUGGUUGAAAGCAUUGCACCGGAUGAUUCUAGACAUGUCCGUAAGCCUACCAUGCAUUUAUUACCAUUUUUAUGCAUGUUCAUUGGGCCUUAAAAUGUUUUCUACCAUUAUUAUUCGAUGCCUACAAGCAUGGUUAAAACCUUCUCUCAAGAUACUCUACAGUGACUUGCAUACUAUUUUAUCUUAUAAACCUCUGAUAUUUAUCUAGAACCAUAGUUAUAGUUCAUUCUAACCGAACCCAGUAGGACUUGUUUAAGAAUUUUGUUUCUUAAAUAUUCUACUAGUUCAUUUCGAUCUUCUAAUUACACUGAAGUUACCUGUGUAUAGAUUGCAUGGAGAAGAUUGAGGAAAAAUGAAAAUUCAAUUACUAACAACUGAAUACACUGUAAUCUUUUUCGAAUUGACUUGUGUACCAAAACUUAUUCGUCAUUGGCUAAAUGUUUGGUGUUUACUAAUCAGGCAGUUUUACUUUCGUCAUAUUUGCAUUACUUGCUUCUUUAUUACACGUUCAUUCUCAUUUCCAGCAAUACAAUAAUAAUUCUUGUUUAGUUUUACUCUAUAGUUCUGAAAUUCUUCAUAGAUUUCAAUUUUGUCCCUCAUAUUAUGCUCAUUAACCUCUUCAAACAUGAGCAAGGCUUUCUUUGCAUUGAAAAUCUGGGGAAUUAUCUAUGCAAUGACUUCGUUGAUUGACAGAAAAAUUUAACAUGUCGGAUUCAAUUUAUAUACAUGAUAAUACCCCUUAAGUCGGAUAGAGAUAAAAAAAAAUGGAAAAAAAUUGUUUCAUUAUCUCAAAACUAUUACUGGGUCCUCAAGAAGUUUAAUGACUCUUCCAAACUUCUACAUCCUUGUGGUAGUUUCCAUUUUUGUUAUAUUGCUUUGCCUAUGCACGUUAAUGUGAAAUCAAUUGAUAAGUCUAAUGAGAGUUUACUUCUUGCGAGACCUUUGUCUAACAUUCCAAAAUGUUUUACUAUAAACAUCCUCUGCCUAGGAGAAGUCCCUCAACUAGUCCUUUUUCCUUGUUUUCUGGUCUAUUGAAUUUUACUUAAACCUCCUCUAAAAUCAUGCUUUAUCCAAAAUGAUGUUCUUUUUUAAUGAUUCAAUUACAGUUCACUUUUGGUACUGAGCUGUUUUCUAAAUCUUGCAGCUUCUACCUAGGUUCCAACCUGAAAAUUUAGAGCAUAACAAAAAGCUAUUUGAACGUGUUAAUGAAAUAGCUGUAGGUUCCAACCUGAAAAUUUAAAAUCUUGCAGCAUCAACCGAGGUUCCAACCUGAAAAUUUAGAGCAUAACAAAAAGCUAUUUGAACGUGUUAAUGAAAUAGCUGUAAAGAAAGGAUGCACCCCAUCUCAGCUUGCAUUAGCAUGGGUUCAUCACCAAGGAGAUGAUGUGUGUCCAAUUCCUGGAACCACCAAGAUUGAAAACCUGAAUCAAAAUAUUAAAGCUCUGUCAGUGAAACUAACUCCGGAAGAAAUUGCUGAGCUUAAAUCCAUUGCUUCAGCAGAUGCUGUAAGGGGUCAUCGAUAUGGGGGUGUCACUCAUACCUAUGAAGAUUCCACUGUCUUCAUGGAAACCUUCAUAAAGGGCAUUGGUAGUCUGCCUUCUUAGUACCGAUUUUGCAAUUGCAUUUAGUUCCUAGGUUUUGUUGUGGGUAAAAUUACUGUAUUGUGAGUAAAGAUAAAGUCACCGUGUCUUCUGAUAGGACACCCUAUUAGUACCUUUCUGCACUUUUCUCAAGUGUUUAGUGAAUAUUGUAUUGAGUUCCUAUGUAGUGUUGUGAGCAAAACGAAAUCAUUGUAUCUUCUGCUCUUCUGCUCUUCUGCUUUGAGCGGCAAAAUAAUGUACUGUGUUUAUACAAAUAUAUGAGAAACAAUAAAUAAAUCAAAAUGGAGUAAUAUUUUCCUGAAAUUUUUGGAAGUUUAGAUGAUCUGAAUCCGGGGUGAAGCCAGGAAAAAUUUCUUGAGUGGGCUAAAUUUUUUCCAAAUCCGAAUAUUAUCUCGGUUAAAAAUAUAAAUAUUAAAGACACUUUUGUUAAUACAUAAGCAAAUACAUUAUAUCUAACAAGUAAUUUAGUUAUAAUUAAACAUUAUUAAGUUGUGUCUUACCAUACUUUCGAGAAUUAAACUCGUCUAUUAUCGAAUUUAAAUUGAUAGUGUUUAUAAAUUCUCUUUAAAUGUAGAUAACAAUACAAUUUGAUAGAAAUUCCUUCUCCAUCUUAUUAAUAAGAAAUAAAUUUAUUAUCUAUUCUUAUCAAGCAUGAGAUGAAGAACUGAAGAAGCUAAGAAAGAAAGCACGUUAUGGAAUCUUGAAUGAAGUAAAUGCUCCUUUUUUCUAUUUAUUUAUAUGAAUGACAAAGUUAUAAAUUAAUAAAGUGGUACAAUUGUAAAUAAAAUAGUGGUAAUUUUGUAAACUUUGUAUUGUAAAUUUCCCAUCCCACACGUAGCCUCGCCACCGGUCUGAAUUUAUUAUAGCAUUAUAUGUUUCAUCUUGUUACAAUUGACAUCCCUCCUCAACAGAAAAUUAUUCAAUAAUUUCAGAUCAAUCGAAUAUUUUGCUGUGUUACAAAGUGGCCUCUACGAGAUUACCAAAAUUUUUCACAAUUUUUCACAUCACAUUACCGAAAAUUAAAUUAUUUCAACCAAUUAAUUAUGCUUACGGAUGGAAAAAGCUCAUGCUGGUCCCGGGUAUGACAAUGCUCAAAUCUAGCCCAAACAUGUGUUUUGAACAAUCAGGCCGGACUUAAAAACUCGAUACCAAAUCGGAUUUUUUUAUAUGGACUUAAAAAAUCCGAGUCAAAUAAAUAUAAUUAUUUAAAAUAAUAUAUAUUUUAUAUAUUUUUUUUAAAUCUAGGUUCCGGGACAAAUUUCAGGCUUAUAAACUGAAACUUAAACCCAGCCCAGCCUCAUUUAUGGGCCGGAUAUUACUAGCCCGUGUUGCCUAGUCCAAUCCGAUCGAGUAUUUUUAACAUUUCCUAUUACCUUUAAGGCAUUUCACACCUUCCAUUUCUAUCAUCAUUUUGUGACUUAGGGUGGUCAAGAUAAUUUGUUUUGCUUGACUUUUGAUGGUUAUCAAUUAUCAUUUGAUAUAAAAUAUUACAAAUUUAUAAUCGUAGAUGAAUGAAUUUAAACCAUUCUAAAUUUAACUCAAUUUAUUUAUUAAUUUUGUUAAACGAAAAAUUCAAUGAAUAUUUGUUAAUGAUUCCUUAAAAAAGAUUGAUUUCAACUCAAGAUUAGAGUUCGUUUAAUAAAUGAAUUGAAUUUGAAUUUACCAACUUUUAACCUAAUUCAUUUAUACCUAGUCACAAAUUUGAUUCGCGAAUUCAUUUUGCUACCCUAUUUACAUCCAUACAUAAACCUUGACUUCUUUUUCACAUUAUAAACAUUUUGUAUAUUACAUUAAAAAAUAUCAUGAUUGGAGAUAUUGAACACUAAAAUAAUUCAGAAAAUAUUAUAAGGUUAAUUUUUAUUACUUAUGGUGUGUUUACUUCAUGGAAUGAGGAAUAAGAAUGAAACCCAUGUUUACUUGGCAAAAUGUUAUUUGGAAAUGGGAAUAAAAUGUGUGGAUCUCACACAAUUUGGGAAUAAGGAAUGAGAAUCUCAUUCCCAUGGAGGGUUGGGAAUGAAAAUGAGGGAAUGUGAAUGAAAUAUAUGUUUAAUUUUCUAUCCCUCUAAUUUUUUCAUAUUUCCAAAAUUACCCUCAUUCAAAUCACAAUUAAUUUUAUUAUUUUAAAUGCCAUUAAUAAUAAUAAUAAUUAUUAUUUCUUAAAUAUAUAUAAUUUUUAGGUCAAAUAAAUAUAAUUAUUUAAAAUAAUAUAUAUUUUAUAUAUUUUUUUUAAAUCUAGGUUCCGGGACAAAUUUCAGGCUUAUAAACUGAAACUUAAACCCAGCCCAGCCUCAUUUAUGGGCCGGAUAUUACUAGCCCGUGUUGCCUAGUCCAAUCCGAUCGAGUAUUUUUAACAUUUCCUAUUACCUUUAAGGCAUUUCACACCUUCCAUUUCUAUCAUCAUUUUGUGACUUAGGGUGGUCAAGAUAAUUUGUUUUGCUUGACUUUUGAUGGUUAUCAAUUAUCAUUUGAUAUAAAAUAUUACAAAUUUAUAAUCGUAGAUGAAUGAAUUUAAACCAUUCUAAAUUUAACUCAAUUUAUUUAUUAAUUUUGUUAAACGAAAAAUUCAAUGAAUAUUUGUUAAUGAUUCCUUAAAAAAGAUUGAUUUCAACUCAAGAUUAGAGUUCGUUUAAUAAAUGAAUUGAAUUUGAAUUUACCAACUUUUAACCUAAUUCAUUUAUACCUAGUCACAAAUUUGAUUCGCGAAUUCAUUUUGCUACCCUAUUUACAUCCAUACAUAAACCUUGACUUCUUUUUCACAUUAUAAACAUUUUGUAUAUUACAUUAAAAAAUAUCAUGAUUGGAGAUAUUGAACACUAAAAUAAUUCAGAAAAUAUUAUAAGGUUAAUUUUUAUUACUUAUGGUGUGUUUACUUCAUGGAAUGAGGAAUAAGAAUGAAACCCAUGUUUACUUGGCAAAAUGUUAUUUGGAAAUGGGAAUAAAAUGUGUGGAUCUCACACAAUUUGGGAAUAAGGAAUGAGAAUCUCAUUCCCAUGGAGGGUUGGGAAUGAAAAUGAGGGAAUGUGAAUGAAAUAUAUGUUUAAUUUUCUAUCCCUCUAAUUUUUUCAUAUUUCCAAAAUUACCCUCAUUCAAAUCACAAUUAAUUUUAUUAUUUUAAAUGCCAUUAAUAAUAAUAAUAAUUAUUAUUAUUAUUAAAUUUUAUUAACUUUAUUAUUUUAGUUAUUAUUAUUAUUUUAUUAAUAUUAUCAUUAUUAACAAUAAAAAUAAUGAUAAAAAUAAUAAUUAAUAAAAAUAAUUAAUUUAUCAUUAUUAACAAUAUUAUCAUUAUUGUUGUUAUUAUUAUUAUUAUUAUUAUUAAUAAAAAUAACAAUAAUUAAUAAUAACUAAAAUAAUAAAGUUAAUAAAAUUUAAUAAUAAUAAUAAUAAUGUAAUUUUCAUUAUCUAGAUACAUGUAUAAAUUAAUAAUAAUAAUAAAUGUUAAUAAUGAUAAUAUUAAUAAAAAUAAUAUUAACAACAAAAACAAUAAUGAUAAUAUUGAUAAAAUAAUUAUUUUUAUUAAUUAUUAAUACUAUAGGUAUUUUGGUAAAUUGAUUCUCAUUCUCAUUCUCAUUCUUCAUUCCCAUUUAUUUUGCCAAGUAAACACAUCAAUGGUAUUCUAGCACAUUCUCAUUCUCAUUUAUUUUUGCCAAGUAAACAUUUAAAUCUCAUUCACAUUCCUCAUUCUCAUUCCAGCCCAUUCCUAUUCCACCUCAUUCGCAUUCCAUGAAGUAAACGCACCAUUAGUGGAGUAUAUUAUAUUAUACAAAGAGUAGUCUUUUGACACCCUUUAAAGAGUGAGGCUAUUUAAACCCACUAGGUUACUCAUUAAACUCACAUUUUAAUAAAAUUAAUUAUUACUAAAAUAUCCAUAACAUAAAUUACAAUUAUAGACGUAUGAUAAGUUGAAAAAAAUUAUACUGAUGUUUCACAUCUUCAAACUCAAUAUAAUUUAUUCAGUGUUAUAAUACUUGUGUUUUUUUUAAUCUUUAGUCUUUUAUUGAAUUUUUUCUCCUCAUCUACACUUUGCAUUCCAUCAAGUUUUUUUAAGAUUUGGAUUAUUUGGCCAAAAGUUUAUUGUUCAUAAAAACUCCUCUUGAAUCAACUGAUAAUUUUUUCUCAAUUAUGAAUUUUCUCUUGCUCAUGCGACAAUGAGCAAACCUAGUUUCUAGUUAAACUGAGGGUAUUUUAAGAAAUAAAAAAUAUCACCAUUCACCACCUAAUAACAACAUAGUAUAAACAAAUUAUUACGGGCCUUUACUUUAGGGUCGGUAAAAUGCAUAUUCGGAUCCGGAUGUAGGUGCAUCCGGAUCCGUAAUUAUAUUUCUACAUCUGCAUCCGGAUCCGCAAAAAAAAUGCGGAUUCGAAUGCGGGUAAUAUCCGCAAUGGAUGAUGGUGGAUAUUCCGGAUAUUCGGAUCCAUAAAAAUUAAAAUUCAAUAAUUUAAUAUAUAAUUUAAAAAUUCAAUAAUUUACCUAAUAAUAUAAAAUAAAACCCAAUCAUAAUUCAACAAUUAAUAAUUCAUUAUGAAUAACAUACAAUAAUCUCAUAAAUCUACAAAUAAAAUUUAAUUUUUAAUAUGUAUUUUUAAUUCAAUUUUAAUUUAAAAUAAAAUUCAAUAAUCUACCUAAUAAUAUCAAAUAAAAUGUAAUCAUAAUCAACAAUUAAUAAUUCAACGGGAAUAAUAUACAAAAACAUCAUAAAUCUACAAAUAAAUUUAUUUUUUAAUUUUUCAUCUAAUUUUUAAUAUGUAUUUUUAAUUGAAAAUAAAAUUUAUCCAAAUCCAGAUAUUCGGUUUUUCGAAUGCACUUGCAUCCGAAUCUGGAUUAGUGCAUAUCCCAAAUUUUCAUAUAUUUUUUUUUUAUAUGCAGAUCCGAAUUUUUUCGGAUCUGGGUCGGAUCCGAAUAUAAUUGCCAUCCCUACUUUGCUUUGUGGUCGUAGGACCUGAGCAAAGGCCCUGGUGAAGCUGGUGUAGCCUUUGAUUUUGCUUUUGUGCCAGCCACUGAGCCACAUCAAUACUGAAUGAGAUAACAUUGUAUUUUUCAGUAGAGAAUUAUAUUCUAGAACUAAUAAUGAUAGCAGUGUUUCCAUUAAUACUAAGCACAGUAAUUUGAAUUCCAUGGUUUUUUUUAAUCAUUUUCCUCAACAAUAUAGAGUAGAUUCUGGAGUAUUUACUAGGACGUAGUAGAUUUUUAAACAGUUUCAAUAUAUUUUUGGUUGUUUACAAAAGUAAUCAUAAGUUCUUUUUAAUUUUGCUUAGUGCGUGUAAGCAUUUGAUUGGCCGCCCCUAGGGGCCUAGCUGAUUUCCAUGUAGGUUUUUUUCUUUUUUUUUUUGGGGCUAUUAAGGUUCGAAUCCUGGAAGAUUAGAAGCGAAAAAACUAAAUUGGGUUUACUACUCUUUACCCUUAAAAAAAACACAAGAAAAAAAAAUAUAAGUAUUUGACUAUCAUUAUUGACAAUAUAAUUACUGUUAUACUUAUUAUUAUUUUGUAUCCUAAAAGCAUGCAAUAAAAUAACAGUUUUUGAGUUUAUUAGAAUUUAUUUAUUCAAUAUUUCUUUGAGCAUAUAUUAUUAGCCCUUAUUUAUAAUGUAUGUGAUUCAUGCAUUGAGCAUAUGAUGUCAAAAUAGAAGAUAAAAAUCACAAAUUCUUUAUAAAUAAAAGAUUAUUCACAUCUAUUAAUGAAAUGACAUUUUAUUUUAUAAGGUUGUAUCUUUUGUAUUUUUAUCCUUAAGUAACUUUAUCUUGAUUACUAAAGUAGAGACUUCAAAUAAAAAAGUUACUAUGUAUAUGAGAUAUAUAUGUAAUGAACAUGAUUGUAGUGAAUUAUGAUAUGGUUUAACAUAUAUUGCUGAUCAUAAUUUACACAAGCUUUAAUAAACUUGAUCGACCUUAAUCCUGAGUGUGCAAUACAGCCCUAAUAGAGGCUAAAGGCACUUGCUGCACAUUCAUGUAUUAUGUUUUUUGAGUUAUCAUGAAGUAAGAUUUAUAUAAACGGUCAAAACAUCGAUAGUUUUGAGAUGUAAUUUCAUGAAUCAUAGAUAUAUAUGUAUUUACAAGAUGGAAUCUAUACAAAUAAUACUUAACUAAGCUAUUUGUGGUAUUUGAUCAUAGUGAUGGCAAAAAAGGUUGGGCCAACCCAAGCCUGAGUUGGCCCGGCCCAUUCCCAUGGGUUUUGUCAUUGGCCUCCACAUGAAUGGUUUGGCAAGAGCUUAAGGGAAAAAAGUUUGGGCCAGAUGCAAGCCCUCUAUUUUUUGAAAAAAUAAAUUAUAAAUUAUAAUAAAAGUGUGUUUGAAUUCGAAAAUCUAGUGCUAAAACAUUAAAUCUCUAAACUUUCAUUUGCUUUAUUUAUUAUUUUAUUUUAAAAUAUUUAUUUUUUUAAUUUAUUGUUGAUUAUAACAAUUUGCUGACUAUUAACUCAUUUCAAGUUUACAACAAUUUUAAAAAAUUUGAAAAAUAAAUAAAUAAAAGUCCAAGCCCAGCCUAGCUAAGCCUAGCCCUUAUACUUUUCCUCUAAUGGACUUGGGCCUAGGUUUAAAAGGCUUGACCCAAGGUCGCAUUUUGUCAUCCCUAUAUUAAUCAUUUAAAAAUAUGGUCAAUUUUAUUCAAUAAAUUGUUUAUUAAAUAAUAACAUUUAUUUCUAAUCUAUUUACAAAUAUAUUAAAGGAAAAUUAUCAAUCGUAUACCCUUAGUUUACUUCAUUAUCAAAUUUACUACAAUACUUUCAGGAUAUAUCAGUCGUCCACCAUAAAUUGACAAAAUGUAUCUGCCGUCCACCAAACUAUUAGUCGCCAUUUAAAUAUGAUGACGUCAAAGGGUAAUCUGGUCUUUUCAUAUAAUACAAGUAAUAAUUUAAGAGUAUAUAAGUGAUAAUAAGAAAUUUUAAGGGUAUACAAGUGAUAAUUUUCUAGGGUAAAAUCGUCAAUUCGCUAUAAUUCCGUUAACUUUCAAACGGUUGAUAACUUUUGUCAAUUUAGGGUGGACGAUUGAUACACCCUUAAAGUGUUGCAGUAUUUUUGAUAAUUUCCCUAUGUUAAAAGUGAUAGUUAGAAUAAAUAGUGACUUAGGGAUAUAUAUGUAAUUACAAAGGCACAUAAUUUAUCAUAGGCUAGCUUUAAUUAUGAUUAUCAAAUAAAGAGUCAAUUAAGUGGUAAUUAUUGGUUUGAGAUCAUGCCUAAUAUUAUUUAAAAGGAGUCUUAAUUAAUUAAGCUUUUAUUUGUUACAUGGUUCCCUAGAGAGCAACUUUGGACUUUUAGUAGAGUAGCCUAAGGUUAACUUAGCUGUUUUGGUGUGUUAUGAUAUGACUGAGCCUUAACUAUGAAGUUAGAGCUAGGAAGUUCAUGGAUAUCUUUUGCUAACUUAGUUUAUAGUUAAACUCUAACUCUAGUAAGUGCCAAUAUAAAGAAAAGAAAAUGGAAAUUAGAGUUCUCUAUAUGCCCACACGUGCGGAGGAGACUAUUGAGGAUAAUAGAGAAAAUUGCAACCAUAAUCUACAAAUCCCAAUAAUACUAGUGGAAAAAAUUGAAGUAGUCUUCUUCAGAUCUUCAGUAGAAAAUUAAGGUACUUCUCUAAUCCUAUGCAUGUAUACAUAAUCAAGAAAACAAUCUUGACUUCUGAUAAUUUUAUUAGAUAAAAAAAUCUUUUUUAGGCCUAAUUUACCAAUAAUUGUAUGAGAGCAGUCUUGAUUUAUGAUACAUGCAUGGUACAACUUUAUACUCGAUUGUGGUAGGUUGAACUUAAUCUAUUAUUGUUAAUAAUUUAUUGAUUUGAAAUUAAUAGUUUACAAGAACCUCAUAGCGUUGGAUUUAUUUUCACAUAUUUCGGAAAAAAAAAAUCAAUCUCUACAAUGUUUAUAAGAUGACCAAAAUCCCUAAAAGAUGAUUCACCACAAUACUAUUGAUAGGUUCCAAUACUUGACCAUAGUCUUCAGGUAAUAAAUUGUUUAGAAGACAAUUUUCCCUUACCAAUUGCCAUAGCUAAAUAUUUUGAAGGAGAUAAUAAAAUGUAUUAAACUUAACAAAAAAAAUGUAUUUUGAAAAAUCAAAAUAGUGAAAAGGGAAUCAUAGUCCAUUUACAUCCACAGCAGGUGCUAUAAAAGGAUUAAGAAUUAGACUAUUGGCACCCCUCCAUAAUUCUUUUGAAACCCCUAUUCUAUUAUAAUUACAUUUUAGGAAAAAUAUUCUAAUAUGUCUCACAUCUAUUUUAUCUCAUUUCAAACUUUUAUUUUUUCUCUAUAAAUUUUUCUUCUCAAAUUCUCUAUAAAUUUUUCUUCAAUUAAUAAGACAAUUUAUUAGUAAUAAAUAAAACACAUUCUGAUAAAAUUAUUUGACUUUUUUUUUAGGUUUGUACUAAAACUUUUUACAUCAUAAUCUUAAAGAUAAUUUAUUUGAUUCAUUGAUUUUUAUCAAGAAGUUUACCACCGAAUUUUUUUUUUUGUGAGGAGCGAGAAAAAAAAUAAAAAAAUAAAAAAUUCACAAAUUAAAUGUGUUUAUUUAGAAGUAAGGGUAAUUUUGGCAUUAGGUUUAGUAUAAUUAAAAAAAGGGUUUUAAAAGAAUUUUAGAGGAGUGUCAAUAAUCCAACUCAAGGAUUAAAGGGUGAUACAAAAUCGUGGGCCUUUGCCUUUGGUGGGUAGGACCUAGGCAAAGGCCCAUGUGAAGCCCGCGCAGCCUUUGAUUUGGCUUUUGUGCCAGCCACGUCAUCAAAUUGAAUGAGAUAAAAUUGUGUACUUUUUAUUAGAGAAUUAUGGUGCAUGUGGUAUUGUUUUUCAAUUGAAAUUUUUAUAAUUUUUUUGAUAAAUGAUAAAUAAUUAGUUUUUAGUGAAAAUAAAAAUUUGUUUGAUAGAUUCUUUCUAAAAUUGUAUUUAUAAAAUGAAAAUUUGAGAAUAUGUUGAAUUAUUUGUUUGAAAAAAUGAAGACAAUGAAAGAGAGCGAGAAAAAAAUAUGCUAUUAUAUCUUUAAAUGAAUUAAAAUAUUUUUAAUCAUAAUAUAUUUCAAUUAAUCUUUUUAUUAUUUGAAAUUUCAAUUAUUUUUUAUUAUUUAAAAUUUUAUUUAUAGGAAAAUUAGAUAAAAUAAUUUUUUAGGGAUUAUCAUUAAUAUUAGAAUGAAAAAUAAAAAUAAAUAAAUCUUACUUAUAGAGAACCUUUAAAAUUAUUAAAAUAAUACAAUUACUAUUGUAGAAAAAAGAAACAUUAAUUAAAAAGUAUUAAACAGGUAAUUAGAAUUGCAUUAUCAUAUAAAUAUUGGUAAUGUGCCCACAUGAUAAGGGGCACGAUUUUUAUUUUUAUUGUUUUCCAAGUGGUAUUUGUACGACCUAUUUGAAGAAUGAAAAUCAUGAAUGCCUUGUUCUCCAAUUUUCUUCUCUAAAGUUAAAGAAUGAGACCAAAUCGUUCUUAUAUGAAAUUAAAUACUAUUUAAAAAUAAGUGUCCCAAACAAAAUUUUGGAAAACGAGAAAUGGAAAAACAAAAAUAAUAUCAAAUGCACCAUUUAAUAAUAAUAAUAAUAGCCAGUGGACUAAUAAAUCAAUGGUCACAAUAAUAUUGAGGGCACUAGUUUGAAUUCCAUGACAUUUUUUAUUCAUUUUCUCGACAAUAUGAAGUAGAUUUCUAGAGCAUUUACUAGGGUGUAAUAGAUUUUCAAGUUAGUCUUAAUAUAGUUUGGUUGUUUACAAAAGUUAUCAUAAGUUCUCUACAAUCUUGGGCAUUACAUGUAACCAUUUGAUUGCCCACCCUAAGGAUUGAGGUAGUUUUUAAGUAAUUUUAUUUGACUGAUCAUUAGAGUUUGAUACAAAGAUUGGAAGAUAAAAAAUUAAUUUAGAUUUUACCCACCCUUUGACAAUAUAAUCACAACCAAAAGUCUAUUGCAAAUUAGAUUAAUUUUCAAAUAUUUAGAAAAAAAUAAAUCUCCAGAAUGUCUCACUCAAAUACUUAUAAAGAUGAUUCACCAAGCAAUUUCCAUACUUAUAUCCUAUUUGUGAUUAAAGUUGGACAUGUGUAACUUAAAAGUUAUAGUGCUAAAGUGUUUGGUAAACACUAACUACUAUAACUUGAAAACUAAGGUGACGUUUGUUUUUUUAUCUGAAAUCUGAAUAGACCUGAAUUAGUCUGAAUUCUGAAUAUGUCUGAAUGUCUGAAUCUGAAUAAUAUGUUUAUUUUUUCGUCUGAAUCUCGAAAAAUAAGUAUUAAGUUAUUUUUUUUUUCAACUUAAAAAGUUGAAAAUAUGUACUUUUACAUUUGUAUCCUUAUUAAAUUUGAAUGUCAAAUAAAUAAUAUAUUAAAUACCACAAUAUUUUAACAUUUAUAAGUAAAACUAUAUUCAAGUGAAUACAUAAUUAUUUUGGAAUUUUAAUAUAUAAAAUACCAUAAAUUUCAAAUUUUAUCAUAUAUAAUAUAAGAAAGAAAAAACAUGGAUAUUUUUAUAUGGGGUAAAUAUCUAUAGGUGAGUUUUGGGAUAGACAUGAAAAAUAAAUUAUAAAACAAGGAUAUUUUUGACAUUAGCAAGUAAUUGACUUAAUUCAGAUUUAUCCAUUAAGUAAAAAGUCAAAAAAAUUAGCUUAUUUUAUUAAGUCAAAAUUAUCUAAAAAGUCUCAUUAAGUUAUAAAAACAAACAUUUCUAAUUAACUUAAUUAAUUAAGUUAAGUCACUUUAAGUCAUUAAGUUAAAAAACAAACCCCACCUAAGUCCAUUUCAUUUUACACUUGCAUGAUGAAAAAUCUAUUAUAUCUUUACAAAUUUUAUCAAAAUUAUUAUUUAAAAAUUACAUUUAUUAUAUAUUAUUAACUUAAAUUUAUAAUUGUAAUUUUUUUUAUAGGAGCUGUAGAUCAAAAGUUAUAGCACUUUGAUACCAAACAUGACCUUAAACCUUGGUUCUAAGAUAAUAGAAUUUUAGAAGACAAAUUUUUCCUCACUAGUUGCCAUAGCCAAAUAGUUUGAAAGAGAUAAUAAAAUGUAUUAAACUUUGCUAAAAAAAGUAUUUUUUUUUUUCAAAUCAAAAUUUUCGAAAACGAGUGAUGCACAUCUAGUUAAGGGACAGGAGGAGCUUCAACCCCUUUUGGGCUCAUAUUUUUCUUUUAAAUGUAUCUUAAGUCCCUUUAAAAAAAAAAAAAAGAAUUUGGACGUAUUUUUUAUGUAACAAAAUACUUAAAAUUUAGUAAAUGUGGUUUUUAAUGGUUUUGGAGGCUUGGUUAAAAUCCCAAUAGCCAUAAAAUUUUGUUUCUUUAGAUAUUUAAUUUUUAAAAACUCAAAUUCUAUUAUUUUUUCUUAAAUUUUAAAAAUAAUGACAAUGGAUUAUUUAUUUUAAAUAUUAGAUCUCAUUAUAAACAUUAGAAAAAAUAAGUUCCCCAAAUUUAAUUAAUAUUUUUUAACUAAAUUCCUAAUUUAAAUGUCCAGGUUACAUCUAUAUUAGGGAGAUGGCUAAGGUACAGACGGUGUACGUAACAGCUGCACCUUAGCCAGCUUCGCAGAGGGUGCAUUUGGUAAGCAAUUUCUCUCUCCUGUGCAUGUGUGUCCUUCCACCAUUGGGUGUGUACGUAACAGACAAUGUACCGUAGCCAGCUCCCUAUAUUAGAUGCUGUAAAGGGUGAUGCAAAAUCGUGGGCCUUUGCUUGUGGUGCAGGUAAAGCCGGCGCAGCCCUUGAUUUGGCUUUUGUGCCAGCCACGUCAUGAGAGAAUAUUGUAUGUUUUUAAGAGGGGCUUAUAGAUCAACAACUGUGACAGGUGUUCCCGAUAGUUUAGAGGAUGCUAGAUUUGAAUUUCACUUUUUUCUAUUAUAAGACUUUUAAGUUGGCACUACAACAAAAUUGGCUUUCUAUGGCACGAUAUCUACUGCAUAAUAUAAUUAUUUGCUGUUGUAAAUGGUCAAAGGCAUUGUAAAAUAUCAUCAUGAUUAGAGAUAAUAACAUGGCAUAUGGUAAAAACAUGUCAUAGAUAACUUUAGUUUAUUGUUAAAUAAUGGCGUAAAUUUUAAAUUGCUGUGAUACUUUUUGAAAGCAUAAUUUACAUGCCAUUAAUAUUUCAUUUUAUAUGGCAUAUUUCAUAUGCCAUUAAAUCAAAAUCCUAAAAGCUAGGAAAUUAAAUAAUUUUAUGUGUUUACCCCCAAUUAGAUGAGAUCUCUCUCUUUGCAGGUUAAUCUGUAACAAUAGGAAAUUCCUUACUUUUUGUAUUUCACCCAUGCCUAACAAAUCUCAUCUUCCCUUUAUGGUUUCCUUUUGUCAGACUCGGGCUUCUUUCUCUCUACCCUAAUAUGCUUUCUACUUCAAUCAAUAACAUAUUUUUGUUUUAUCAAUCAUCAAUUUGCUUUAAACUUAUUUAUCAAAUCCUCAUGGCACCUAUCCUCCAAAAUCCUUUAAUUUGAGAGCCACAAUAGGUAGUUAAUUUGUUUUUAGUCUAAUUUGACGAAGAGCGCAGAAGGUAAAUCAAUCAAUUUAAUUUUUUUAUUUUAUUUUUUGUUAAACCUUGUAUUUUUAUUGUUUUACCAUUAAGAAUAUUAUGUCUAAUUGGUUUUUUCAGCAUUUUAGUUUUACAAUUUUUUUCUGUUUUCUAUUAUCAUAUAGUACAUAUGUGGCUAAAGAACAAUAAUAAAAAAAAAAAAGAAUAAUUGAGGGACUGGUGUCGUCAAGUACCCACUGCGAAUUAAUUGAUGAAAUGAAAUCUUGAAAAAGGUAAAAAUUUACAAUAUGUACUUAUAGAAUAGGUACUAGUUUUUACAAAAAUUUUCAGUUGAAGGUAAUAUUAUUAUCAUGUAUUAGUCUAAUUAUAUUUUUUAGUAUGUAAAGGUUUUAUUUAAUGUUAUUGCUGGUCUUUGAAAAGAAAAGAAUUAAUCAUUUUUAGAGGAAAAGGAACUCCAAGUCUGGGAUGGUGAACUGUCAUUAAACAGUAAUAUAUAUUUCUAGGAUAAUGAACUUCAAGUCUUUGUAAAUAUUAUUUUAUCAAAUGUAAUAUAACUUUAUCAGUAUCUUUUUUCCUGUAUUGACUCAUACAAGUUAAAAUAAAAAGCAUUGCGAAAUUGUUUAUUCAGAAUUCAUUGUGUAAUUCUUUUUUUUUUUUUUGUAAAACUAAUUGAUGAUGAAUGAGAUUAUGUGUCAUGUAAACGUAUGUACUUUAUAAUUAUGUAUAUGUGAAGGUAAGGAAAAAAUAAUUAAUUGAGAAUAUAUCGCUUCACGAGAAAAAAAAGAAAAGAAAGGUCAGUUUCACACUACAUUCCCAAAGUAGUAGUAAAGUUUAGUGUAACGGAAGGUAUAAAUGUUGUUAAAAGUAUAUGACUUUCUCCGACUUAUGAAUCAACGGCGUGCUAAUUUAUGCCAUCAGCAUCUUAACCAUAUAACGGCAUAUUUCAAAGGCCGUUAAAAGUCUUUUAUGUGGUAGUGUGGUCUCAAUAUAUUUUUGGUUGUUUAUAAAAGUAAUUAUAAGUUCUCUUUAAUUGUAUUUAUCCCAUAUAGCCACUUGAUUGCGUCUGUAAGAUCUAGAUAAUUUUUAAAUAAUUUUAUUUAAUUAGUCACUAAAUUUGAAUUUUAAAAGACAUUAAUAAUUAAUUUAAAGUUUACCCAUUCCUUAUUUUUUUUGUUAAAAGAUUUACAUAUAAAAAAAAUAAAUAUUUGACCAUCAUUAUUGACAAUAUAAUCACAAUUUAAAAUCUACAUGAGUCUCAUAGCGGAUUGAAUUUUUCACAUUAUCUUGGGGGGAAAAAAAAAUCAAUCCCGACAUUAUGUGGAAGAGGACUGAAAUCUCUAAAGGCUCUCGUCUUUAUUGCUUUUGUGACUUUUUAGUUUGAGCAAUGCUAUAGAGAGAGAAAAAUAAGAGAAAAUAAGAGAAUUUUACGUUCUCUCUCUUUGAAAAAUUACAUGCUAACAUAUUCCAUUACGUUAAUAUUACGAGUUUGUGGGGCCCGCUGAAAGGCAAUAAUGUUCCUAACUUGUUUGACCAGCGCUUAGCCGCCAGUUUGGGCCAACUUUCUAUCGUUCCCUUGGAAAAAUUUUUGAAUAUUUUUUGGAGUAUCAUGUUACUCGUAUAAUUAAUAAAUAUUAUUAUGACGUAUCGACUAUUUAUUUAACAACUAUGUUGUGUGAUUUUGUAAAGUUACAGAGGCAAAUGCCAACAUAUUCCAUUACGUUAGCAUUACGAGUUUCGUGAGGUCCACAGAGUUGGAAAAAAAGAACUAUAAAUAUAAAUUGUUCGCUUAAGAACAGCAACCUCACUCAAUAGAAAGUUAAAAGAAUAAUAGAAGAGAAAUGGCAGGGGCAGUGAAGAGGAUCAAGCUUGGUUCGCAAGGUCUAGAGGUUUCAGCACAAGGCUUAGGAUGCAUGGGCAUGUCCGCCUUCUACGGGCCCCCGAAGCCCGAAUCCGACAUGAUCGCCUUGAUCCACCAUGCCAUUGACAAUGGCAUCACUUUUCUCGACACUUCCGAUGUUUACGGACCUCACACAAAUGAAAUCCUUCUGGGCAAAGUAAGUAACUCAGUCAUUAAGUUUAAGUUGAUGUUUAUCCUAACACUUUAAAUUCUCUAUCUUAUAAAAAAGUUAAGCUCAAGCACUCUUUUUGAUUGAAUUGUUUGGUUUAUGG
rnacentral:lncRNA from 1 species